GCAAGACUAUAAUGGAUAUUCAUGAGGAAGUUCGCAGGCUAGAUAGAGUUAUCAUAGACCUCCAGUCCUCGAUUAAUUCCCUCACUAGGCAGCUCUCUAACCACAACACAGUUAUAUUAGGCCUUAGGCAGGAUCUUGCCAGGGCCAACAAGAAGAUCAAGGAAUUAGAGCGCCGCUAAGUUAUCUAGAUUAGACCUUGAGGCAAUGCAUCUUAGUCAUCUAUCUUUAAAUUUGGUUUAGGUUUACUAUUAUUAUCAGUUUGCUAUUAUCAUCAGUUUGCCAUCAAUCUUUUGUAAUAAAUGCCUCAAAAUUAAUAAAGAGUAUUAUUAUUAUUAUUAUUAUGUCUUGUGUGUCUCCACUUUAUUUUUGUGCAAGAAAGCAGAAAACAAGUAUGGGGGAGAUCCCUUAAACAUGCCAAACACACUCCGACUACACCACUCCACGAUUCAGGUACACACUCUGCACACUUACUUCAUACAUACAUUUAUUUUAGAUUAUGCAGAUUACUGUUUCCGACAUGAUAAAAUAAAAAGAUUAAAAUAUUUCUAAUCAUGAUUAAUCUCAAUCUGUGAUAUUUCCUGAAAACUUGCAAUUAUUAUAAAAUCAUUUUAAAACCCUGUGUUACUCAAGUCAAUAUGGAAUAUGUGAUGGUAGAGUAUGAGUUUCUUAUUCUUGAUAUCAUUGUUGCUUGGAGAAUUUAUUUCAAAAUAUUCAAAAUUCUAGCUACCAUCCUCAGUGUUUUAUAUGCCUGAUAAAAAUAAAAAUAUUAAUGAUGAUUAUAAAGCUAUCUACUCUGUAUUUAGUUUGUUCAAAAUGAGUUAGACCCUUGUUGAGAGAUUUAUCAUGCUCCUAAGAUCAAGACAUUAUUUCAGAAAGAUUCACUCUUCCGAAGUAUUAUUGCAUUAGAGGCAUGGGCUAUGCAAAAAUGAAAAUAUUUCGAGGAAAUAAAAAGGAGCAAGUGCUCGACAACCUCGCAGAAAAAUGGACAAGUGUCCGGUAGUAGAAUUAGGGGUACCUCGGUAUCCACUUAAAAAAAAAGAAGAAAAGAGAAAAAACAAAUGAUAGCCCAUGGUCCCUCUAAUAAGCAAUAUUCCAGCAAGAGUUGACAAAGAUUUUAAUUUCCAAAGUCUUUGAUCUAAGAGUAUGACAUUCCCCUCCUCGGAUCCCGUUUUGAUCAGACAAUAAAUGCAAAGUAAAUAUGCUUGAGAAUUUUUGCAGAAAUACAACAGCCUCAGUGAGAUAUAUAUAAAAGAUAAUGAGUGAUUUGAGAGAACCUAUGAGGAUAAAAAGGUAUGCUAACUUUCUUUCAAAAAUAUACAAAAGCUCCAAGUGGCAGGAUUGAGAAGAAAGGAUCUUUACUCUUAACCAUAUACAUCCCUGACUAUGGUACACAGUGAAUUUUUAACACCCUGCAAUUAUAAAGAGAAUGCUUUAAAAUGUUUACCCCAGAUAUUUUUAUUAACCAUCCUUUUCUCGAGGACGAGUAAAAGCCUAAGUAUGGGGGUAUUUGUUGAUGGUUCUUAAGUAUCAAUUUUAAUUAUCAAAUAAACAAGAGAAAGGACCAAUAUGCAACCAUCACCUAGAAUUAGGGUUUGAUCUGACAGAAUUCCACGAGUUUUGUUGUUUAUCUGUUUCUGCAGGGAGUUAUCAGAAAUUAGGAAGAAAGGCCUACAUGUCGGGAUUACAUAGAGAUAUAAACGCACCGCACAAUUUUACAUCAUCUAGAAGACUCCAGAAGCCACGAGACCGAAGCGGAGGCAAAACUGGGCCAGGCCCAGGGCGCCCGCCCUGGUAGCCUAGGCGCCCGCCCCCCUGUUGGAGCCAAAUCAGGACUCUUUCGCUCGGGAUAUUCCACCGACCUAUUGGAUCAAGAAAAACAUAGUACCACCUCGCCUAUCGACCCAAAAACGCAUAGAAGGGGAGGACUAUAUAAGCAAGGCCCCCUGGCCCCUGGAGAAGACAUGAAGAAAUUAUCAUAGAGACUGAGGGGUGCCCUCGAAGGAAAACCUCUUCUCUAAUUAAUAUUUCUUUUCAGGCUUAGCAAUCAAUGUAAGGUAGAAAUAGAUCUUCUAGUUUCUACUAGAUUGAGAGAGAUAGAGUGGAGGUGUAGAGUAGAGGAAGCCCGGCCUGUCGGUGUCUACUCCAAGCUUGUACCUGCGGGAUCAAGUUCUCCUAACCCGAAGCUUGCUCCUAGGAUUCUUCAGUAAUUCGACUUCUAAAUUCUAGUAAGUUCUUGUUUUAUUGUUCUUAUGGUUUAUGAGUUUACUUUAAUCUCUUCGCGUAGAGUUUAGAGUAAUCAUUGCUAGCGUAAACAUGGUGUUUAGGCUGGGGUACUCAUAGAUAUUCCCUGACUAGCUGGACCGUGGUAGUAGUGAGGAACGUGACAAUUCCGAGCUACCUUUGUAGAUCACAUCUCGUUAGCAGGAAGGAUAGGGUUUAUAGGUGCGGGUCGAACAUCCUUUGUGGUGUCUAGAUUCCGUUAGCCUCCCCAUUAGAACAGUAGAUCAUCCUUACCAAGGUUAGAAGGAGACUACGGUUGCAGUCUUCUCUAUUUAUCACUCACAUCGAAAGACAUUCUUGCUGUAACAGAACCGACCAAAUUAUAAGAGAUUAAGCCUAAUAGUGACCAUUUGCAUAGUCGAACCAUCACGCUUAAGCCCAUAUAAUCCCGGUAGUCCGUGAAAUCUCGAAGGAUUUCAAACCACACAUCGCAUAACAGCCAAGAUCGUAAUAAGUUUAGCGGCCGCCAUCCACAAGUACAUCCAGAUUACAACAUUCAUGAAACACAUCGGAGUACUUAAGUUAUUACAAACCAAGUUCUUCAAGUAGCGGAAGCUUCAUAGUUCGAAAAUACAACACACACAAUAAGUCUGAUACAGUGCCAUAGUUCGGUCAUUCCCACAAAAGCAAAAGAAGAGACGAAGUGACCAUCGCCCUUGGUCUAGUCAUCACCCAUAGCUGGGUACAGACAGAGGAUGCAAUAACCAUAGUACAUUUGACCAUCUGCAAAACAACAUGGGAGUAGAACCCUGAGUACGAGAAGGUACUCAGCUAGACUUACCCAUCAUAAACUUAAAAUAAAGACUCAUCAAGGAUCAUGAAGGCUAUUUAGUGGGGUAGCUGACAACCAUUUUGCAAAGACCGCAAAGUUUUAUUUCCCUAACCUACAUAAAUCUUUUCUUCUUUUAAUUUGCUCAAGUUGAAAGUAUCAUUACCUAUUAUCUAGGUUUGCUCCUGUGCUAUUACAAGCAAGUAUGAGACUAUGAUAGUACCUCAUCAUAGCAUUUCUUAAACCAUUCAUCAUCAUAACCCAAGUAUUCCAUAGUCCUUACUACGAGGACAGGGCUCAUGUCAAGUGCUCACUAUCCAGGAGCGAUGGCGAUUCGAAUCGAUUUCUAACCAGCUGGCGAGGUAUUCCCCACACAAACCACACUCACUGAUCAAGUGAGCUACAGAUCACCGUAUUACACUAUCCAGGACCAAUUCGCGGGUUCGGCAGGCACCGCCAGUACCCGAGGACCGUUCCGGCGACCGAGGUAUCCAAGGUAUACCAAGGUUGCGCGCCGCGCCCUCGUCAUUCUCCUCAACCAUCACCAAUACAGCGCAUGGCGGCUCGAUUCCCGGCCCGGAUAGUGUUCAGGCUUCGCAGUCGGAACGACUUAUCCUUCCAGCUAAGUGUGGGGCAUGCGUUCAACAUGACAAGAGGGCCGUCAACGAUCGGUCCUUAAUCGACACAGGCAGGGGCACUAUGGGCAACCCACCAUAAGACCCUGCCUGGUCUCCAAUUACAUUCCACACUUGGUUAUUUCUUUCCCCAAGCAAUCACUGCUUAAUCAAGCAGGUAUCCACCUAUAUCUCGCAGGUGACAGGACAUCACCCGACUUCUACCGGACUAAGCAAGCUAAGCAUAGACUCCGCGCCUAUCUACAUAGGACAAGGUAGAUAAACGAGUAGGGAUAACAAGGAGUACAUAUGCAGCAAUGGUAUCAGGCAACUCCUACCACUUAAAUGCAGUAGUAGAACAAGUAUAGUGCAUCACAUAAGUUAGCGAGAAUAGGGAGACUUAGAAUGCUCCGGGACUUGCCUUUCUCAAACGUGCUGGGUCGGUGAUCCGGACACUCCUGCAAUUCCUCUCCGGGUUCCUGUGCUUCCGGAGGUUCCUGCUCCUGUAUCUCCUCGGGUUCCUCGGGUCCCACUUCGUUCUCCUGCGAGCCUGUAUGAUGCCUAUAUGCUCAUGAGUGGAGUGCGAGAUGCCCGAGUGGAUGCUUGUAUGAGAAAGUACCAAAGGACCAUGACAUGAUGCAUGGAUGAUACACUUGGUCAUGCUCAUCACAAGGUAUGCAACAUCAUCCAAGAACAGGCACUUGGAUUAACAUCUAUUGCAUUCUCUUCUAUAGAUAUUUUUCAAAUGCAACCAGCAACCCCCAUGAUGCUUCAAAGAUACACCAAACCCAACUUAUUCCAUUCAACCUAUAUAUAUACACCUUUUAUGGUUUUCUUUAUUCAUUUCUAAGCCCAUUAAAAAUCACAUGCAAUUCUGUUCAUCAAUAAAUUCCAGAAAAAUUACAGGAGACUACUAGCAAAUCAUAAAGUCUACUGUAAAUUUUUCAUAAUUUUUGGUUACUUAUUUUGAGCCACAAAAAUCACAAGAUUAAUGGAUAAGGCAAGUAUAAUCACCCUACUGUGAUAUAAGUGUCAAACAACAGAUUUCAUAUUUUUACAAUUUAUCUAAUAUCAUAAGAAACACCCACAAAAUUUUCCAGAUUUAUUGCAUGACCCAAUUAAUUAUUAAAAAUCAUAAAUCACUGCCAUGCAAGCAUUUAAAUUACCAUAAUUUCAUUUAUACACCAAUUAAUAUGUAACAAUAUUUUCUCAGUGAUUAAACACACAUGCAGAGCCAGCAAAUCAAGUUUUACAUUUUUCUGAACCCCAUUUUAUUUACUAUGCAUUUUCCAAGUUUAGGAAAAACAUGGAUUAAUUAUAUUCUUACAGAAAAGUUAAUCAAACAUGACAUGCAAUCAUACUAGGCUAUAGAUCUGGAAAUAAGGAACACACCAAAAUUUAUUUCACCAUUUUUGGAGCUAUAUUCAUCAAGAUAUGGAUUUUUGAACAUUUAGAUCAUUUCCUAGAAAAACUUUUAAAACGGAAAGUCACCCAAAACGCUAAGCGCACCCGGAUUCAAACCCUCGGAGUCACUGACAGGCGGGACACGCGAGUCAGGGGACCCCACCUGUCAUCCACCCCGUGACCCCGCGGCCAAAGAUCGGCCGGAAUCUCGCCGCCGGUGAGGUUUCCGGCGACACCGUGAGCACCUACGGCUUCGCGCGAACGAGACGAGUCCAGCCGUACCCUCUUUGGCACCGGACGAGCACCGGGACUACCUCGGCGUCGUGAAUGGCGGACGCGGCGGCACUGCUCGCCGUAGUCCGGCCGUUUCACGGCGGUAGAGCGUGAGCUAGUGACGGGAAAAGGUGCGCGAGGUCAAGGCGGAACCAAAGCACCUAUGAACGCGAGCAGAGACAGAGAGGAGAGGGAGAACCGUGCGAGCCGAGAGGUCGCCGGAGCUCUGACUCACUCCGGUGAGCUCUAGCGGGCACGCAGGGCUUACCGAGCGCGGACGAGCGCAAGCACGAGACGCGGAAGGACGAGGCGGAGCCGGUGGUGGUCGCGAAGGGGAAGGAGAGGGCCGGAGCUGGCCGGGAGGGAAGCUCCGAGCCGUCGGCGGCUAUGGCGUGCGGCGGAGCGGCGAGCGCUGCGCGAGGGCGAGCAGAGAGGGGAGAGCGAGCGGUGUAGGUCGCAAAUGGGAGCGGGGGCUUCGGCGGGCGCGUCCAGGGGCUCCUGGUGGCCGACCAGGGCGUCUCCACGCCGCCGCAUGCCCGCCACGCGGCGGCCAGGCUCUGCCGGCGCGCCACGGCGGCACGGCGAGGCCGUCCGCGUGCGCGGACGCAGGCGCGAGCGUGAGGAGGGGGAAGGGGAAGGCGCGGGCGGGCCAGGCCGGCUUCGGCCAGCGGGCCAGAAGCGAGGCCGCGGCCUGCUAGCGCCCCCUUUCCCUUUUCUAUUUUUUUUUGAAUUUCUUUUCUCAAAUUCUCUCAUAAAUUCAUUUUGGCCAUUUUCAAAUCAUUUUCACCACUUUCUCCCAAAAGCAAAGUGGUGCCAAACUAAAAACUCUACAACUUUGCUUUAAUAGGUAAGACCAAAUUCUAAAUAGAAUUUGAAUUACAAAUUAAAACUUAGUUCUAGGUUUUUAAAUAAAGUUAUUUUGGAUAUUUUGUAUAAAUUCCAUUUCUCAAUUUCCAUAGCUCCAAAAAUUGCACAAAAAUGUUCUUAAUUCUUCUUACACAUAAAGCAACCUAAUUUGAAUAUUUCACAAUUUGAGAAACAAGCAUCACAUUUUUAACAUAAUUAAAGCACGUGAAAUGAAGCACAUAAAAUCAUAUUCUUAGAAGAAUGACAUGCUCAUGAUGCUUAUGCUUGACUUUGAUGAGACUAAGUGCAUGCUUAACACCUUGGGUGUUACAGCCCUUCCCCCCUUAGGGAAAUCUCGUCCCGAGAUUUUGGGUUACUAACCAUUUCUUAUGAAAUUUUGGAUAAACUGUUUUUAAGUAAUCCUCUGUUUCCCAAGUGGCAUCCCUAUCGUCAUGAUGACUCCACACCACUUUAUAAGUUCUGACAACUUUGUUUCGGGUUACUCGCUCCUUGGUAUCCACAAUCCCCACUGGCUGCUCCUUAUACUCUAGGUCUGCUUUUAUCUUGAUCCCUCGAGGUUCAAUUCUUUGCUCAGGCACUUUCAAACAUUUCCGUAGUUGCGACACAUGGAAGACCGGAAAGAUCGAGCUCAUCUCUUCAGGUAACUGAAUCUUAUAGGCCACUGGGCCUUUCCUCUCUAGCACUUGGUACGGUCCCACAUAUCUGGGUGCAAGCUUGCUUCGAACUCGUAAACGUUGAACUUUCUUGAUUGGCGUAACCUUGAGGUACACAUAGUCACCUAUGUUGAAUUCAAGUGGCCUUCUUCUCUUAUCAGCAUAACUCUUUUGUCGUGACUGUGCCGCUUGCAUAUGUUGUUGUAUGAUCUACACCUUUUUCUCUGCUUCAUUCACGAAGUCGAUACCAUAGUAUCUUCUUUCACCAGGUUCAACCCAGUUUAACGGAGUUCGACAUCUCCGCCCAUACAAAGCUUCGAACGGGGCCAUCUUGAUGCUCUCUUGAUAACUAUUAUUGUAUGAGAACUCAGCCAAAGGUAACCAUGAUUCCCACGAUCCCCUGGAUGAUAGCACACAGGCCCUCAGCAUAUCUUCCAACACUUGAUUUAGCCUCUCAGUUUGGCCUGAAGUCUGGGGAUGAUACGCCGUGCUUCUUAUCAGACUGGUCCCCAAGCUCUUAUGCAUGCGCUCCCAGAAGUGAGCAGUGAACUGCGGUCCUCUAUCCGAUAUGAUGGUUUUGGGAAUACCAUGCAACUUGACAAUCUCAGCCAUAUAUAUAUCGGCAUACUCAGCAGGUCGGUAACGAGUCUUCACAGGGAUGAAAUGGGCCGAUUUGGUCAAUCGAUCUAUGAUUACCCAAAUCGAGUCAUUCCCUUUCCUUGUGGUUGGUAAACCUGUGAUAAAGUCCAUACUGACCUCUUCCCAUUUCCACUCCGGAACUGAUAACGGUUGUAACAGACCUGCAGGUUUCAUAUGGAUGGCCUUAACUCUGCAACACGUGUCACAACGGGCCACAUAAGCGGCUAUUUCUUUCUUCAUCUUGGUCCACCAAAAGUGGGGCCUUAGAUCUUGAUACAUUUUGCUGCUGCCAGGAUGAAUAGAAAGCUUAGAGAGAUGGGCUUCAUCCAUGAUGCGAUUCUUCAACUCCCGAUCUUUCGGGACCACUAACCGCUGUUGAAACCACAGUACCCCCUUCUCAUCAACCCGAAACUGAGUCUUUGGGUCAUUUUUGAUCUUCUCUUUGAUGUGGAAAAUACCCUUGUCUGUUUUCUGACCUUCAAUGACUUGACUCUCGAGUGAACAACUGAGUUGUAUAUGACAUAAGACCUCAGGAUGCAUAAGAUUGAACCCAUCUUCAAACAACGGUUGAACCAUUUGAUAGUGCGGUUUGCGACUCAAAGCAUCUGCGACCACAUUAGCUUUGCCUGGAUGAUAGUGAACUUCCAGGUCAUAAUCCUUGAUUAGCUCUAACCACCGUCGUUGCCUCAUAUUCAGCUCGGACUGAGUGAAGAUGUACUUCAAACUCUUGUGAUCGGUGUAAAUGUGACACUUAUUUCCUAGCAGAUAAUGUCUCCAGAUCUUCAAAGCAUGUACCACUGCUGCUAACUCAAGGUCGUGCGUUGGAUAGUUGACUUCAUGCUUUCUCAACUGUCGGGAAGCAUAAGCUAUCACCCUGCCAUCUUGCAUCAACACACACCCCAGGCCACUCUUCGAUGCGUCACAAAACACAUCAAAAGGCUUCUCUAUAUUAGGUUGUGCCAGAACGGGAGCAGUGGUUAGCAACUUUCGCAAGGUGCGGAAGGCUAACUCACACCCUUCCGUCCAGACAAACUUAUGGUCCUUUUGUAGCAAACUUGUCAUUGGCUUAGCAAUCUUGGAGAAGUCAGGUAUGAAACGACGAUAAUACCCGGCCAGACCAAGAAAACUUCUAACUUCCGAGACAGAAGUUGGUGCCUUCCAGUCCAUGACUUCCUGCACUUUUGAUGGAUCCACAGCAAUUCCUUCUUCAGACAGAAUGUGCCCUAGGAAAGGAACUUUCUUUAACCAGAACUCACACUUGCUGAACUUGGCAUAUAACUGAUGCUCUCGUAACCGUGUCAGCACGAUUCUCAGAUGCUCGGCGUGAUCUUGCUCAUUUUCUGAAUACACCAGGAUAUCAUCGAUAAACACUACAACAAACUUAUCCAAUUCAGGCAUAAAGACUGAAUUCAUCAGAUACAUAAAGUAUGCAGGAGCAUUUGUCAACCCAAAGGACAUGACAAGAUACUCAUACAACCCAUAUCUGGUGGAAAAAGCAGUCUUCGGGAUAUCUUGCGGACGAAUCUUGAUUUGGUGAUACCCAGAUCUCAAAUCUAUCUUAGAAAACACUCUUGCCUUGGAUAACUGAUCAAACAGGAUAUCAAUCCUUGGCAAGGGAUACUUAUUUUUGAUUGUCACUGCAUUGAGUGGACGAUAGUCCACGCACAUGCGCAACGACUGAUCCUUCUUUUUCACAAACAACGCUGGACAACCCCAUUCUAGUAACUCCUUCAGUUGCUUCUUCAGCUCUGCGAGUUCGUUUGGUGGCAUCCGGUACGGCCUUCUAGAUAUUGGUGUUGUACCUGGUAUCAACUCGAUUGCAAACUCUACCUCCCUAUCUGGGGGAAGUCCUGGUAACUCCUCGGGAAACACAUCGGGGAACUCACAGACUACUGGGAUCUGUGGUAAAGGGACCACGUGCGUAGCACAGGAGAUGCUAGCAAAGUCAAGACGACGGGGCAGAGGUACUUGAAAAGAGUUACUGCCCUGUGGUUCUCUGAGAGAUAACAUCCUCUUCCCAGUAUCUAUGACAGCAUCCCAUUCUCUCAUCCAGUUCAUGCCCAUGAUAACAUCCAAAACUAACCCAGGCAUGACCACUAGAUUUACCCGAAAAACUCGGCCACUUAUAUCCAGGGUUGCCCCUCGGACCACUCUAUUGGUCAACACAUCUGCCCCUGCUAAGCUGAUGCGGUAGCCAUAGCCCAGAUCUGUAACUGGUUGAUUAUGCUUUUGUGCAAAAGCUUGGCUCAUGAAUGAAUGCGAUGAUCCAGAAUCAAACAAAACAACUGCAAGAUGUUGGUUGACAGAAAACAUACCAGCUGUUAUCGGUUCUCCUUCCGGGAUUUCCUCAAUCGAGGUAUGAUGCACACGAGCUAGAUAGGUUGGCUGCUGCCUUUUGGGGUAGGGACAUUCCUUAGCAAAGUGCCCCAUCUUGUGGUAGUUAUAGCACGGACCCUUGGGCGCAUUGUUGACGGCAGGUGCGACAGCUUGAAUUGCCUUUGGCUUGGCAGGAGCUAUCGCCACCUUGUACGGCUUCUGCUGGGUUGGAUGCCCGGUGUUCCUUCUCUCUGGUGGUCGGAACCUAGCACCCGGGGCAGGAGGACGAUACUGCUGUCGCCCUGCCACUGGUGCCCUGGACUGGGAUGAUCCUGCUUCAAAAGCCCUUUUACGUGACUUGGAUGCACUGUAGUUGUUGUUAUUGUUCUCUUGGGUCAGACAGUCACUGCAUUGAGUGGACGAUAGUCCACGCACAUGCGCAACGACUGAUCCUUCUUUUUCACAAACAACGCUGGACAACCCCAUUCCGACGAGCUUGGCCGGAUGAACCCUUUUUCUAGUAACUCCUUCAGUUGCUUCUUCAGCUCUGCGAGUUCGUUUGGUGGCAUCCGGUACGGCCUUCUAGAUAUUGGUGCUGUACCUGGUAUCAACUCGAUUGCAAACUCUACCUCCCUAUCUGGGGGAAGUCCUGGUAACUCCUCAGGAAACACAUCGGGGAACUCACAGACUACUGGGAUCUGUGGUAAAGGGACCACGUGCGUAGCACAGGAGAUGCUAGCAAAGUCAAGACGACGGGGCAGAGGUACUUGAAAAGAGUUAAUGCCCUGUGGUUCUCUGAGAGAUAACAUCCUCUUCCCAGUAUCUAUGACAGCAUCCCAUUCUGUCAUCCAGUUCAUGCCCAUGAUAACAUCCAAAACUAACCCAGGCAUGACCACUAGAUUUACCCGAAAAACUCGGCCACUUAUAUCCAGGGUUGCCCCUCGGACCACUCUAUUGGUCAACACAUCUGCCCCUGCUAAGCUAAUGCGGUAGCCAUAGCCCAGAUCUGUAACUGGUUGAUUAUGCUUUUGUGCAAAAGCUUGGCUCAUGAAUGAAUGCGAUGAUCUAGAAUCAAACAAAACAACUGCAAGAUGUUGGUUGACAGAAAACAUACCAGCUGUUAUCGGUUCUCCUUUCGGGAUUUCCUCAAUCGAGGUAUGAUGCACACGAGCUGGAUAGGUUGGCUGCUGCCUUUUGGGGUAGGGACAUUCCUUAGCAAAGUGCCCCAUCUUGUGGCAGUUAUAGCACGGACCCUUGGGCGCAUUGUUGACGGCAGGUGCGGCAGCUUGAAUUGCCUUUGGCUUGGCAGGAGCUAUCGCCACCUUGUACGGCUUCUGCUGGGUUGGAUGCCCGGUGUUCCUUCUCUGUGGUGGUCGGAACCUAGCACCCGGGGCAGGAGGACGAUACUGCUGUCGCCCUGCCACUGGUGCCCUGGACUGGGAUGAUCCUGCUUCAAAAGCCCUUUUACGUGACUUGGAUGCACUGUAGUUGUUGUUAUUGUUCUCUUGGGUCAGACAGUCACUGAUAUAGGCAUUGAAAGUAGCCCUGGCCCCUGUACCCAUGGUCUUCAGCAUCUUUGGAUUCAAGCCUCUCUGGAAACUGGCAAUCUUCUUGGCCUCCGUGUUUACAAACUCAGGGGCAUAUCGAGCGAGAUUAUUGAAGGCAUGUAGAUACUCUUUCACAGAUUUCGUCCCUUGGGACAGCCUCAUGAACUCCCCAACUUUCAUUUCAACCACACCAGGAGGAAUGUAAUUUCCCCGGAAAGCGGUGGUGAAGCGGUUCCAGGUGAUUGGUGUCCCCUCUGGGUAGGUGGUACGGUGAUGGGACCACCAAAUCCCAGCGGGUCCUUGCAACUGAUGUGCCGCAUACUCAGCCUUGAGUUCUUCUGUCAUUCGGAGAAGACGAAACUUCUGCUCCAUGGUGUUGAUCCACUCAUCUGCUUCGAGCGGUUCCAAGGCCUCCUUAAAGAUUGGUGGCUUGGUAUCCAUGAAGUCCUUGAACGAACUGUACUGGUUGACCUCCCGGCCACCCUGAUUAUCCCCACGACGGGUGUUGUCAGCUAUGUUGCGCAAAGCUUCUUCCAUGUUGCGCUGCAUCUGUUCCAUGUUGCGUUGGCUUCCCAGAAACUGCGCGAAAAACACAUCCGCGGUGUACGGGGGAGGUGGUGGUGGUGUUGGUGCUCGGUCCUCAUUCCGUUGAGCCCCAUUUCCGAAUGUACCUGCUCCAAGACCCGGGUUGCCGUUACCCCCGCCACGUGUUUGUACCAUCUGCAUACGCCAAUGAUAAGCAAUCGUUAGGAGUUGCCAUCAACCGGUAGAAAAUGCGUAAAAUCGUGCCAUACUGAAUUUACUGAGGGAAUAAAUUCACACAAUAAACAAAGGCACAACAACUCAUCAUCCACGCACAACAUCACUAACAGAUUACUUAACAUUCACGCAACAAGGUUCGCGUACAUCCAACUUGCCAGCAUACAUACACUGGACUUUCAGCAUCAACUCAUAAAGUCUUACACAGCCCAGAUCCACAAGUACAUGACAUUCCAUGCAACAUACAUCACAAAAGAGGAAAGACUAGCUCCAGAGCCCUAGCAUCUACUCGCUGUGGUCACUGUCCAUGCCGGAGCCAUCCUCAUCUUCAUCACCACUAGCAGUUGCUCCUAUCUCGGGAUCCGCGUCCAUCUCGUCCUCAGAGUCUAGCUCCGCUGCUCCAGGCAGGUGGUGAGGGUGGAGCUGGUUAUGCAGCUGGUGGAUCUCCUCAUGCAAGUUCUCAUUGUACUCCUCAGCAUUAGCUAGCUGCUGCUCUAGCUCUAGCUGUCGGGCCCUCAAAGUGUCCUCCUCGUGCCAGGCUUCAUUCCUCUGUCCAAGCACAUGGACUAGCAUGCGCUCGCAGUUCCUGUGAGCAGUAGUCACCCUGUCCUUCUGCUCUCGCACUGCAAGCAGGUCCUGGCUCAGCUCACUGUUCUUCUGGACUGCCUGGUCUCUCUCUCUGGUCACACGAGCCAACUCUGCCUGUAGCCUCUCAACCUCAGAGUCAAACUCACGCUGCAACUGACGCUUCUCAUCCUGGACGGUGAGAAGAGACCCGGACAAGCGACCCAAACAACGCUCCAGGCCUCCAUAGGUCUUCAUCAACGCGUACAUGGCACUCAUAGCUGCACUGUCACUGUGCUGGUCCUCAUCCGCACUCCUCUCUAGAGCAUUCACCUCGGACUGAUCCCACACCGACGUGUAAGGGUCACCCCGGGGAAACACCCCAGCGAAGGUGUGGGCCAGCUCCUGUGGAAACCUCUCCAUGAGGUCCCUCAAAACUGCGAAAGCUGCCCUGCUGGCACCGUGGAAAGGCGUGACACCUCGGGACUCGUACACCCAACCGCCCCAAGCAGGGUCUCCUCCACUGGUAGGGACAACUGCCUCGAUCCCCACCAGGGUCUCGUCACCAAGCGGCUCCUUAUCCCAAUAGUAGCGAGGCUCCCUUCCUUCGGGAUACCCCAUCGAACUGAGCACCCUCCAAAGCAAAGUGGGCAUCCCAAACUCCUCUAGGAACUUGCUCUUAUGUCGUGAGCUCCUAGCUGCCAACGGACGGCGAGGGGCCCGCCCACCAGUGGACUUGCGAGCGGUGAGCCUAGUGCGUGCCAUCUGCUGCAAAUGGAAUACCGUGGGUAAGAGCGAGGAUUACCUUUAAUUAUUUUAUUUAGAAUUGGGACAGAUUAAAUUAAGGGGGAAAGUAAGCAAUGAUAUGAAAUGAACAUGAUGCAUGCACGAACUUACGAUCUCACAAACUUAGAAACAAGGGUUAACACUAAGCGGUAUAUGCGGUGGCACACAACGUUAUCUCAUAACGUAACUAGCAUUCUAAGCGAGAACGUGGUUAGUGUACCUGCAGAAAACUCAUUUCAGCCCACCCACAAUAUGAUCAUGCAGAGCAAGAAUUUAAAACCAUGCACUUCACAUACACAGACACCCGUCCAUGCAUGUGACGUGCCACUACCCACAUCAUCGCCCUAAGGACGGCAUCGCCUCUCAGGACGGAAUUCCCAGCAUGCGGUACUGUUUCCAAGACACACCAACAUGUGUGCAUGACACAGCACCUGACAACACUUCCCUAGACCGGCAGUGUAUCCGAUCAUGCUCUCACAACUCCCACUUACCAUGGCGUAGAGGGAGAAUUGAUCCAUACAUUACCACUCAAAUGAAUGGCACUCAUACUAUUGCACGCCGUAUGAGCGACGAAAUAAAAAUAUGAUGCAUUAACCCCCAAGUCAGUACUUAGCUAGCCACCUUAGAGUCCUUAACUGGGCAUAAAGGAUAUGACCAUGGCACACUAGAUAGUUUUCCAAAACUUAGUUUAACACCUUGAUCUUUAUUAAUUUCUAAAAUCUUUCAUUAAACCGGUUUAGACUUUUGUUUAGAACGUACUUAUGAACAGUAACUCGCUAAACCUUGCUCCGAUGCCAGCUGUAACAGAACCGACCAAAUUAUAAGAGAUUAAGCCUAAUAGUGACCAUUUGCAUAGUCGAACCAUCACGCUUAAGCCCAUGUAAUCCCGGUAGUCCGUGAAAUCUCGAAGGAUUUCAAACCACACAUCGCAUAACAGCCAAGAUCGUAAUAAGUUUAGCGGCCGCCAUCCACAAGUACAUCCAGAUUACAACAUUCAUGAAACACAUCGGAGUACUUAAGUUAUUACAAACCAAGUUCUUCAAGUAGCGGAAGCUUCAUAGUUCAAAAAUACAACACACACGAUAAGUCUGAUACAGUGCCAUAGUUCGGUCAUUCCCACAAAAGCAAAAGAAGAGACGAAGUGACCAUCGCCCUUGGUCUAGUCAUCACCCAUAGCUGGGUACAGACAGAGGAUGCAAUAACCAUAGUACAUUUGACCAUCUGCAAAACAACAUGGGAGUAGAACCCUGAGUACGAGAAGGUACUCAGCUAGACUUACCCGUCAUAAACUUAAAAUAAAGACUCAUCAAGGAUCAUGAAGGCUAUUUAGUGGGGUAGCUAACAACCAUUUUGCAAAGACCGCAAAGUUUUAUUUCCCUAACCUACAUAAAUCUUUUCUUCUUUUAAUUUGCUCAAGUUGAAAGUAUCAUUACCUAUUAUCUAGGUUUGCUCCUGUGCUAUUACAAGCAAGUAUGAGACUAUGAUAGUACCUCAUCAUAGCAUUUCUUAAACCAUUCAUCAUCAUAACCCAAGUAUUCCAUAGUCCUUACUACGAGGACAGGGCUCAUGUCAAGUGCUCACUAUCCAGGAGCGAUGGCGAUUCGAAUCGAUUUCUAACCAGCUGGCGAGGUAUUCCCCACACAAACCACACUCACUGAUCAAGUGAGCUACAGAUCACCGUAUUACACUAUCCAGGACCAAUUCGCGGGUUCGGCAGGCACCGCCAGUACCCGAGGACCGUUCCGGCGACCGAGGUAUCCAAGGUAUACCAAGGUUGCACGCCGCGCCCUCAUCAUUCUCCUCAACCAUCACCAAUACAGCGCAUGGCGGCUCGAUUCCCGGCCCGGAUAGUGUUCAGGCUUCGCGGUCGGAACGAUUUAUCCUUCUAGCUAAGUGUGGGGCAUGCGUUCAACAUGACAAGAGGGCCGUCAACGAUCGGUCCUUAAUCGACACAGGCAGGGGCACUAUGGGCAACCCACCAUAAGACCCUGCCCGGUCUCCAAUUACAUUCCACACUUGGUUAUUUCUUUCCCCAAGCAACCACUGCUUAAUCAAGCAGGUAUCCACCUAUAUCUCGCAGGUGACAGGACAUCACCCGACUUCUACCGGACUAAGCAAGCUAAGCAUAGACUCCGCGCCUAUCUACAUAGGACAAGGUAGAUAAACGAGUAGGGAUAACAAGGAGUACAUAUGCAGCAACGGUAUCAGGCAACUCCUACCACUUAAAUGCAGUAGUAGAACAAGUAUAGUGCAUCACAUAAGUUAGCGAGAAUAGGGAGACUUAGAAUGCUCCGGGGCUUGCCUUUCUCAAACGUGCUGGGUCGGUGAUCCGGACACUCCUGCAAUUCCUCUCCGGGUUCCUGUGCUUCCGGAGGUUCCUGCUCCUGUAUCUCCUCGGGUUCCUCGGGUCCCACUUCGUUCUCCUGCGAGCCUGUAUGGUGCAUAUAUGCUCAUGAGUGGAGUGCGAGAUGCCCGAGUGGAUGCUUGUAUGAGAAAGUACCAAAGGACCAUGACAUGAUGCAUGGAUGAUACACUUGGUCAUGCUCAUCACAAGGUAUGCAACAUCAUCCAAGAACAGGCACUUGGAUUAACAUCUAUUGCAUUCUCUUCUACAAAUAUUUUUCAAAUGCAACCAGCAACCCCCAUGAUGCUUCAAAGAUACACCAAACCCAACUUAUUCCAUUCAACCUAUAUAUAUACACCUUUUAUGGUUUUCUUUAUUCAUUUCUAAGCCCAUUAAAAAUCACAUGCAAUUCUGUUCAUCAAUAAAUUCCAGAAAAAUUACAGGAGACUACUAGCAAAUCAUAAAGUCUACUGUAAAUUUUUCAUAAUUUUUGGUUACUUAUUUUGAGCCACAAAAAUCACAAGAUUAAUGGAUAAGGCAAGUAUAAUCACCCUACUGUGAUAUAAGUGUCAAACAACAGAUUUCAUAUUUUUACAAUUUAUCUAAUAUCAUAAGAAACAUCCACAAAAUUUUCCAGAUUUAUUGCAUGACCCAAUUAAUUAUUAAAAAUCAUAAAUCACUGCCAUGCAAGCAUUUAAAUUACCAUAAUUUCAUUUAUACACCAAUUGAUAUGUAACAAUAUUUUCUCAGUGAUUAAACACACAUGCAGAGCCAGCAAAACAAGUUUUACAUUUUUCUGAACCCUAUUUUAUUUACUAUGCAUUUUCCAAGUUUAGGAAAAACAUGGAUUAAUUAUAUUCUUACAGGAAAGUUACUCAAACAUGACAUGCAAUCAUACUAGGCUAUAGAUCUAGAAAUAAGGAACACACCAAAAUUUAUUUCACCAUUUUUGGAGCUAUAUUCAUCAAGAUAUGGAUUUUUGAACAUUUAGAUCAUUUCCUGGAAAAACUUUUAAAACGGAAAGUCACCCAAAACGCUAAGCGCACCCGGAUUCAAACCCUCGGAGUCACUGACAGGCAGGACACGCGAGUCAGGGGACCCCACCUGUCAUCCAUCCCGUGACCCCGCGGCCAAAGAUCGGCCGGAAUCUCGCCGCCGGUGAGGUUUCCGGCGACACCGUGAGCACCUACGGCUUCGCGCGAACGAGACGAGUCCAGCCGUACCCUCUUUGGCACCGGACGAGCACCGGGACUACCUCGCCGUCGUGAAUGGCGGACGCGGCGGCGCUGCUCGCCGUGGUCCGGCCGUUUCACGGCGGUAGAGCGUGAGCUAGUGACGGGAAAAGGUGCGCGAGGUCAAGGCGGACCCAAAGCACCUAUGAACGCGAGCAGAGACAGAGAGGAGAGGGAGAACCGUGCGAGCCGAGAGGUCGCCGGAGCUCUGACUCACUCCAGUGAGCUCUAGCGGGCACGCAGGGCUUACCGAGCGCGGACGAGCGCAAGCACGAGACGCGGAAGGACGAGGCGGAGCCGGUGGUGGUCGCGAAGGGGAAGGAGAGGGCCGGAGCUGGCCGGGAGGGAAGCUCCGAGCCGUCGGCGGCUAUGGCGUGCGGCGGAGCGGCGAGCGCUGCGCGAGGGCGAGCAGAGAGGCGAGAGCGAGCGGUGGAGGGCGCAAAUGGGAGCGGGGGCUUCGGCGGGCGCGUCCAGGGGCUCCUGGUGGCCGACCAGGGCGUCUCCACGCCGCCGCAUGCCCGCCACGCGGCGGCCAGGCUCUGCCGGCGCGCCACGGCGGCACGGCGAGGCCGUCCGCGCGCGCGGACGCGGGCGCGAGCGUGAGGAGGGGGAAGGGGAAGGCGCGGGCGGGCUAGGCCGGCUUCGGCCAGCGGGCCAGAAGCGAGGCCGCGGCCUGCUAGCGCCCCCUUUCCCUUUUCUAUUUUUGUUUUGAAUUUCUUUUCUCAAAUUCUCUCAUAAAUUCAUUUUGGCCAUUUUCAAAUCAUUUUCACCACUUUCUCCCAAAAGCAAUGUGGUGCCAAACUAAAAACUCUACAACUUUGCUUUAAUAGGUAAGACCAAAUUCUAAAUAGAAUUUGAAUUACAAAUUAAAACUUAGUUCUAGGUUUUUAAAUAAAGUUAUUUUGGAUAUUUUGUAUAAAUUCCAUUUCUCAAUUUCCAUAGCUCCAAAAAUUGCACAAAAAUGUUCUUAAUUCUUAUUACACAUAAAGCAACCUAAUUUGAAUAUUUCACAAUUUUAGAAACAAGCAUCACAUUUUUAACAUAAUUAAAGCACGUGAAAUGAAGCACAUAAAAUCAUAAUUUGAAAAGAGUGUCAUGCUCAUGAUGCUUAUGCUUGACUUUGAUGAGACUAAGUGCAUGCUUAACACCUAGGGUGUUACACUUUGUGCCUAAAGGUUAGUAGUAAUAGACCGGUUAGUCAGAUGCACUCUUUCUCCUAGUGGUAAAAAAAUAAAUACGAUACUCUGGAUAAUUUCCCGGGUGAAGUGCUCAUCGAUAUCCGUGCGCUUGCGGAUCAAUUCCUUAUUGCGUUCCCAAAUAUCAACAGUCACCAUAUUACACUAUCCAGGACCAAUUUGUGGGUUCGGCAGGCACAGCUAGUACCCGAGGACCAUUCCGGCAACUGAGGUAUCCAAGGUAUACCAAGGUUGCGCGCCGUGCCCUCGUCGUUCUCCUCAACCAUCACAAUUACAGCGCAUAGCUGCUUGACUCUCGGCCCGGAUAGUGUUCAGGCUUUAUAGUCGGAAUGACUUAUCCUUCCAGUUAAGUGUGGGGCAUGCGUUCAAUAUGACAAGAGGGCCGUCGACGAUUGGUCCUUAAUCAACAUAGGCGGGGAUAGAUAGGCCCCCAAGACCUCCAUGCCUUGUUGCUUCUCUAUCAUCGUCCCGCUUGGUCUCCAAUUAUCCAUCAUCAUCACUUGGUUAUUUCCACGAUAGCAUAUGUAGCCAAACUUUUCAGGUGUCCACCUAUCUUGCUCAGGUGACAGGACAUCACCUGGCUUCUAUCGGUCUAAGCAUAGUUAAGCAUUUAGAUUCAAUCCUGAAUCUACAUAGGGUUAUAGGUAUAUUUGCUGGAGGAGUGAUAUAUGCAGCAAGGAUUUCGCCCAACUCCUAUACUUAAUGCAACAAUACAUAUAUAACAUAUAUUCUCAAUUGCAUUCAAAAGUAGUGGGAGACUUAUAAUGCUCCGGGGCUUGCUUGGGAUCAAAACUGAGUCUGUUCAGUUGGUUGCUCCGUCUUGGUGACAUCUAAGGUCAAACACUUGCUUAGUCCUUCCACUUUCGAGAUGGGUCCACCAAACACCAUCUUCAAGUUUGAUUCCACAUAAUGUCUUUCGCGUGGUUCAUCUAGCGUACCUAGAUGAGAUGCAAGAUGCAAGUUCAUGAAUAUGGAGAAUAGUACCACAAGAUGUAUCACAUAAGACUAUACAAGACACAAGCAUCUAAAGUUAUUUAACUAACAUCACACAACUAACUAUAGAGACCAAGCAUAUCAAUCAUGACACAAGUUUAACAAAGUUACAAGUGUAUUACUUAAUGACCAUUAAAGACAUGAAUCACACUUAGCACACACAAAGUGACGCAACCAUGCAUUCAUGCAUUUUCAGCAAAUGUGGACAUACAUACAGAAGCUCGGUAAAUAAAUCAUAAUUGGAGUUAUAUAACUCCCAAGGAUAUGCAACAGGACAUUCUGGAAAAAUCAUAAAAUUAUCUACAAUUCAUAUUUAAUCAUCUUAGCAUGAUUAACAUGUUAACCAAGUCAAACAUGCAUGACCAUAGAAUGUGGUCCAGGAAUUUUCAGGGAACAAGUAUUUCAAAGGAUGAACUUCAUACCACUGUAACUCAUAAACCAUCUAGCCAAAUAACAUGAAACUUCACCACAAGAUAGACUAAUAAUUUAUCUACAUAUUUUAUAUAGACACAUUUCACAGUAAACAUCAUUUAUACCAUGGAAUUAGUUGUAUAAAUAAAACUGCUCAUGCUGCCCAACAGUAGGGGUACAAUUACAAACAGAACACUGAAAGGCAACUCAAGGAAGCAUAACUGGAGUUGUAGACCUCUAGAAAACAUGAUUUUUAUCUUUUUGGAAAGCUUAUAAAGUUACCUACAACUUUCUUAUUAUCAUUUAAAGAUGAUUCCAUAGUUAACAAGGUUAAUUAAUCCAAGGAAGACAUCUCUGUCCAAAACAUAGACGGAAUCUGUCAUGCCAAAUUAAAAAACCAUAACUUCAAUUUCACAAGUUCAUAAAUUAUUGUUAUGUACACUAUGGAAAGCUUACUAAAUGGUGACCAACUUUGUUAUAAACACCUACAGCUAAAUCUACCAUUAACAAGGUCUUAUAUUACAAACAAUGCAAUCCUGUCGGGGUUUAGACAGAAACUGGAACAGUAAUUUAAACCACUAUAACUAAACAUGUGCUUAACAAAAAAUUGUGAUCUUUAGCUUUCUGGAAAUCUUAUGAAAAGUGAAACAACUCAUAUAUUUUCAUGCAGGCAUGAUUCACAACCUAACUGAGCCAAACAAUACAAACAAGCAUAUCUACUCAGAAUAGGAGCAAAGCAACACAGGGCAUUUGUUAUUUUUAUAGCUCUUAAUCUAUUAUGCCUAAAUUCAUGAAACUUUUACCAAACAUAAAACAUCAUAUGAAAGCAUGCCAAAAUAAUUUCACAUUUACUUGAGCAAUACUACUGCAGUUAUGAAAAAGACAAGUACAACAAGCAAUUAAAACCUAACUGCAUAAAUCUAUUUUUACGGCUAAAACUUGAAACUAAACCAUGCCAUAUUAUAGAUCUACUGCAUAGAGAAUUUCACAAGGAUUCCAAAAAGUCCAUGUUUACUAUUUUACGACGUUUCUAGCAUUUUCUAUGAACUAACAAAGUUCAACCAAAAAUCUGCAAAAAACAAAAGAAAAGAAAAACAUAUAUUGCAUGGGAACCCUGGAUUUUUCCUGAAUCAAUUUCAGUCCACAAGUACUAUUCAUCUGAGUCCUUGCUUCGUAUCUGGAACCCUGAUUUUUACUCUAUUUGUACCCGAGAUCCUUCUUCCUCCUCCUUACUUACGGAACAAAGCAGACAUGGCAUGACUGGCUCGGGGUCACCAGGAUUCGACCGACUGAUAGCAAGGGAAGUGAGCUGCGGCGCUAGGGCACGCCACAGCUAGCUCACUCCUGCAUGAGGGCACAACUUAGUGCUGGCGGCCAGGAAGACCUUUGCUGCUUAGCUAUGGAGGCCAUGGCCAUGGUGCCCUUCACAGAGGAGAGCGAGGCGAGAUAGGAAAGCGCUGGAGGAGUGGAGGAGGAUGGGGAGAGUGCUCUGGUGCUCGUCCUCAUCCACACAGAUAGAGGCAAGGGCGAGGUGGAGGUGGCAGCCAUGGUGGGACAAGCUCUGCUGCAUGACAUCCACGUCGCCAUUUCAUCGAACACGUGGCGGGCAACAAAGUAGCCAAGGUGGGACGCCAAUUCAGGCUACUUCUGGGUCAAAUCGGACCUUGGGCUGAAAAUAAAGUUUAAUCAUCUCGCCGUGCUCUACAACUUUCAUUAAGGUUGCUCGGCCAUUAGAUCAACAAAUUAAGAGAUAAUUAGAUGCCAAGUCACGAGUGUCAACGUAUUGAUGGAGAUUAACAAAACCAAGAAUUGAUGAUCCAAACCAUGUCAAACUUGAUGCAACUCUUUAUAUGACCUUCUCCAAACAAUUAUCCACAACUUUUAUUUUUGGACCUACUUGAGUGGCUUAACAAAAACAUGAGAACGCGACAUGCCAACGGGUUCACGUCCGGUUAGCGAUAAAAUAAUCUUUUGCUAUUUUGGGAGCUAUUUUUGGACAUCCAAAUGAACUCCAAAUUUUGUGAAACUUGAUCCAUUGCUUCCAGCAAAAAGAGUACUCCAACUCAUAUUUAGGAAUCCAAUUGAUUUACCACAUGAAUUUGGAUGCUAAAAUGUCACAAAGAAGGUAACUCACUGCUGUACUUCCAGGGACUUAGAAUUAUUUCUCAGGGCUGAAUAGCAGCAGCUGAUUCAAACUUCGAGCCUCUGUUUGAACUAUUUGUAUGCUGAUUUGGUUCUUGGCCCUAGAACAAUAUUUGCUCUACAGAAGCUAAGCUACAACUUUCAUUUAAGGUCAAACCUCAUAACUGCAAUAGAAGUUAAUAUUUUACUUUGGUCAAAGCAGCAACUUGAUAAAGCUCAAAAUAGUGUUUUAGGCCAAUUGAAGCAUUUCCUUGGCACAAGCUCAACAAGAACCUUUCAUGACUUUUGUUGUAUAAUUCAUCUAGAGUCAUAUGAGCAUGUUUUCAAGGGUUGGUUGAUGACCCAUGAUUCUAUUCCCUUAAUAGGGCUAUUCCAACAAGGAUAUAACUUACCAUUUCAAGUGACUUCUUGAUUCUAAACUUCACCAAAAUAUUCCAGGAACCAACAUAGAUUGAGAUGGAUAUGAGACACAUGAAAAAGGUGCCACUAGAAGCAUCCAAGCAUACGUUUUAAAAAGGGGCCUAUAUGUAAGCCGAGGUGCAUCAUCCAAGUCCAAGUUCUGUCUUACUUUCAUAGAUUGACUAUGACCUCUUUGUUACCAUUGAACUUGUCAUGUUUGAGCUCAAACCUAGUACUUAGCAAGUGACAAACACCUGAGGUGUUACAGCUUAUAAUAGAACCGCCCAAUUUAAAAGAGAUCAACUAUGAAAAACUCCCACCAAAGCAGUUGCUUUAACAAAAUCGAACUCUCAUAAACCCGGUAGUCUGUGAAAUCACGAGGGAUAUUUUGUUACCAUCAUACAAGCCAAGAUCGUAGUGAUUCAACAUAACAAGUCAUAUGUUACAUCCAUUUCACAAGUAGUUGACAUCCAUCGGAGUUCAAUAUAGUUAUUACAAGUUGAGUUAAAAGGUAGCGGAAGCAAAGUAAUUUGAAACUAAUAUUACCAUUAUUUCAAAUACAUGCCAGUAUUCAGGUCAACUCCAACAAAAGCAGCACAGAUGAGGUAACUAAGAAGGAUGAUGCCCAUGAUCUUACUCCUCCACUUAUGGUAGGAGUCAUCCAUAUCUUACAGUAGCCANNNNNNNNNNNNNNNNNNNNNNNNNNNNNNNNNNNNNNNNNNNNNNNNNNNNNNNNNNNNNNNNNNNNNNNNNNNNNNNNNNNNNNNNNNNNNNNNNNNNNNNNNNNNNNNNNNNNNNNNNNNNNNNNNNNNNNNNNNNNNNNNNNNNNNNNNNNNNNNNNNNNNNNNNNNNNNNNNNNNNNNNNNNNNNNNNNNNNNNNNNNNNNNNNNNNNNNNNNNNNNNNNNNNNNNNNNNNNNNNNNNNNNNNNNNNNNNNNNNNNNNNNNNNNNNNNNNNNNNNNNNNNNNNNNNNNNNNNNNNNNNNNNNNNNNNNNNNNNNNNNNNNNNNNNNNNNNNNNNNNNNNNNNNNNNNNNNNNNNNNNNNNNNNNNNNNNNNNNNNNNNNNNNNNNNNNNNNNNNCUGGCAAGUUAUUCCCCACACAAAUCACACUCACUAAUUAAGUGAGCUAUAGGUCACUAUAUUACACAAUCCAGGACCAAUUCGUGGGUUCGGCAGGCACAGCUAGUACCCGAGGACCGUUCUGGCGACCGAGGUAUCCAAGGUAUACCAAGGUUGCGCGCCGCGCCCUUGUCACUCUCCUCAACCAUCACCAAUACAACGCAUGACAUCUCAAUUCCUCGCCCAGAUAGUGUUCAGGCUUCACAGUCGGAACAACUUAUCCUUCUAGUUAAGUGUGGGGCAUGCAUUCAACAUGACAAGAGGGCCCAUCAAUGAUCGGUCCUUAUUCAACACAGGCCGGGAUAGAUAGGCACCCAAGUCCUCCAUGCCUUGUUGCUUCUCUAUUAUCGUCCCGCCCGGUCUCCAAUUAUCCAUCCUCAUCACUUGGUUAUUUCCAUGAUAGCAUAUGUAGCCAACCUUUUCAGGUGUCCACCUAUCUCGCUCAGGUGACAGGACAUCACUUGGCUUCUACCGAUCUAAGCAUGGCUAAGCAUUUAGAUUCGAUCGUGAAUCUACAUAGGGUUAUAGGUAUAUUUGCUGGACAAGGAGUGAUAUAUGCAGCAAGGGUUUCGCCCAACUCCUAUACUUAAUGCAACAAUACAUAUAUAACAUAUAUUCUCAAUUGCAUUCAAAAGUAGUGGGAGACUCAUAAUGCUCCGGGGCUUGCCUGGGAUCAACACUGAGUCAGUUCACUUAGUUGCUUCAUCUUGGUGACAUUUAAGGUCACAACCCUUGCUUAGUCAUUCCACCUUCGGGAUGGGUCCACCCGACACCGUAUUUGGGUUUAUUCCCACACCAUGACCUUCACGUGAUUAAUCUAGCGCAGCUAGAUGAGAAGGAAGAUGCAAGUGUAUAAAUAUGGAGAAUAGCAACACAAGAUGCAUCCCAUAAAAGUAUGCAAGACACAGGCAUCCAAUGUUAUUUAGCUAAUAUCACACAACCAAAUAUAUAGAGCAAACAUAUCAAUCAUGACACAAGUUUUACAAGGUUACAAGUGUAUUACUUAAUCACCAUUAAAGACAUGAAUCACGGUUAGCACAUACCAAUUAAAGCAAUCAAGCAUUCAUGCAUUUUCAGCAAUUCUGGACAUACAUGCAGUAACUUUGUAAAUAAAUCAUAACUAGAGCUACACAGCUCCGAAAACUAUGCAAUAGGACAAUAUGGAAAGAUUAUAAAAUUAUCUACAAUUCAACUUUAAUCAUAUUAGCAUGAUUAACAAGUUAACCAAGUCAAACAUGCAUAACCACAGAAUCUGGUCCAGGAACUUCCAAAGAACAAGCAUUUCAAAGGAUGAACUUCACACCACUGUAGCUCAUAAACCACUUAGCCAAAUGACUUGAAAAUUUACCACAAGAUACAUUAGUAAGUUAUCUACAUCUUUUAUGUAUACAAGUUUCUCAGAAAACAUUAUUUAUAUCAUGGAAUUAGUUGCACAAAUAAAACUGCUCAUGCUGCCCAAACAGUAAAAUUACAAUUACAAACAGAAAACUGAUUGGCAAUUCAAAGAAGCAUAACUGGAGUUAUAGACCUCCAGUAAACAUGAAUCUUAACUUUUUGGAAUGCGUAUAAAGUUAUCUACAACUUUCCUAUUAUCAACUAAGAAUGAAUCCAUAGCUAACAAGGACAAUUAACCCCAUGAAGACAUCUCUGUCCAAAACAUGGACAGAGUCUGUCAUGCCACAUGAAACAGCCAUAACGUGAGUUUCACAUGUCCAUAAAUUAUGGUUAUGUACUUUCUAGAAAUCUUAGGAAAUUUUUAACAACUUUAUUGUAAACAUCUAGAGCUAAGUCUACCACUUACAAGGUCUUACAUUACAAACAAUGCAACUCUGUCUGAGUUUAGACAGAAACUGGAACAGUACUCUAAACCACUAUAACUAAACAUAUGCUUAACCAACAACUAUUCUAUUUAGAUUUUUGGAAAGCUUAUGAAAAUUACUACAACUCAUAUAUUUUCACCCAGACACGAUUCAUAACUCAACUGCGUCAAACAAUGCAAACAUGCAGAUCCACUCAGAAUAAGAGCAAAGCAACACAGGGAAUUUGUUAUUUUUAUAAGUAUUAAUCUGUUAUUCCUAAACUCAUGAAACUUUUACCAGACAUCAAAUGUCAUAUUCCAAGCAUGUCACAAUAAUUUCAUAUUUAUUUCAGCAAUACUACAGCAGGUAUGAAAAAGACAAAUAUAACAAGCAAUUAAAACCUAACUAUAUAAAUCCAUUUUUACAGCUAAAACUUCAAACUAAAACAUGUAAUAUUAUAGAUCUACUGCAGAUACAAUUUCACAAGGAUUCCAAAAAGUCCACAUUUGCUAUUUUACGGCUUUUGUAGCAUUUUCUGUGCAUUAACAAAGUUCAACCAGAAAUUUGCUAAAACAAAAGAAAAGGAAAACAGAUCUUGCAUCGGGAACCCUGGACUUUCGAUGAAUCAAGCCAGCGCCCAGAAGUCCGUGGUUCGCAUCUAAAACCCUGAACCCGAGAUCCUUUUUGUUCUUCCAACAGACAACAGAGCGAACUGAGACGGGAGCGAAGGAGAAGGGAGAGGCUUGGGCUUCGGCCACCUGGCGAUGCUGCAGGCAAGGAAAGGGGCGGCCAGGCCCUGGCCAUAGCCAGCCGCAGCCACGGCAGCAGCACCACAGCACCAGGGGCGCAGCAGCAGCUGCAGCAGAGCGGCCAUAGCGGAGCACGCUCAAAAACUCUCUGAGAGGGCGAGAAUGAUGAGCAGGGAGUAGAGGGGGAUGUGGAGGCGAGUGAGUGAGGGAUUGGUGAGCACUUCUGGCUAUCCCAUCACGAGAUGGAGCACCAGCAGAUGUGUAGCAAUGGUGGGGACGCGCACUGGUGCAUGGCGGCCACGAAGGCAUAUCGUGGAGCACGUGUCGGGCAUCGAUGUAGGGAAGGUAGGACACCGGUUUGGAGUUUUUCUGGGCCGAAUUAGACCUUGGGCCAAAAAUGAAGUUUGCUUAUCUCGCUGUGCUCUACAACUUUUAUUAAGACACCAAGGUCAUUAGAACAACUGAAUAAGAUAAUUAGAUGCCAAGUCACGAGUGUUAACGUAUUGAUGUUGAUUAGCAAAGCCAAGAAUUGAUGAUCCAAACUAUGUCAAACUUGAUGCAACUUUUUACAUGACCUUCUCCAAACAAUUAUCCAAAACAUUUAUUUUUGGAGCAACUUGAGUUGCUUAACAAAAAAACGGGAACGCGGCAUGCCAACGGGUCUACGUCUGUUUAGCGAUAAAACAAACAUUUGCUAUUUCGAGAGCUAUUUUUGGAGAUCCAAAUGAACUCCAAAUUUGAUGACGCUUGAUCCAUUGCUUUCAUCAAAAAGGGUACUCCAACUCAUAUUAAGGAAUCCAAUUGAGUUACCACAUGAAUUUGGAUAAUAAAACAUCACGAAGAGGCUAGGCGCUUCUGUCAUAUUGAGGGACUUAACCAAAUUCUGGAGGUAGCAAAUCAGCACUGAGUUGAUUCUUGAUAGCUCAAUUUGACUAGGAUAGGUAUCAUACUAGCUCAUAACCCUUAAACAAAGUUUGUUCUACCGAAGCAAAACUACAACUUUCAUUCAGGGUCAAACCUCAUAAUUGCAACAGAAGUCAAACUUUCACUUUGGUCAAAGCAGCAACUUGAUAAAGCUCAAAAUAGUGUUUUAGGCCAAUUGAAGCAUCUUAUUGACAUAAGCUCAACAUGAACCCUUCAUGAAUUUUGUUGUAUAAUUCAUCUAGAGACAUUUAGGGAUGACUCAUGAUUCUAUUACCUUAAUAGAGCUCAUUUCAUGUGACUUCUUGAUUCCAAACAUCAUCAAACUUUUCCAGGGACCAAUAUAGAUUGGGAUGGAUAUGAGACACAUGAAAAAGGUUCCACUAGAAUCACCCAAGCAUAUAUUUUGAAAAGGGCCUACAAGUAAGCAAGUGUGCGUCAUCCAAGUUUAAGUAAGGGCUUGUUGUCAUAGACUUACUGUGACCUCUUUGUUACCAUUAAACUUGUCAUGUUUGAGCUCAAACCUAGUACUUAGCAAGUGACAAACACCUACGGUGUUACAACCUUCCCCCCUUAAAAGAAUCUCGUCCUGAGAUUCGGUGCAAAAGACUUUGAAGGGAAGAAAACAAUGUCACACAUCUCCCAAUAUCAGCGAUAGCAGUAGGCUACCUAGAUUCAAAGCUUAGAGAAGUUAACUUGAACCAAACAUUUUCUAAUACUUUCCUUUCAUAGUAGACCUUUAUCUAGAGAAUUUCCCACUUUUUUUACUUCUGUGAAGCAUUAUUACUUUGGGAGGAAUCUAAGACAGCACUGUCAUGUGUACUUUGUUCCUGGUGUAUAAACAGUGGGUUAGAGCAUCAGGAGCCACCUAUACCAUUAGCUUUUUUAGUGAAACUAAUGCAAGCCAUAAGAACUUCGCACCAGGUCACAAGCUUCUAAGGGUUGCUCAUUAUAGUGGUUUCAGGCUCAUUCACAAGAUUUGAAAAGCAGUCCUCUACCGAAAUGGCUGGAGUAUAACUUCCCAUGCAUGCAGUUCUCUUUCUCUAGUGACAACAUUGUACUUACCACCCGAUUAAGAGAACGGUGAAUGUGAUAGCUGACUUUGUUGGUUCAACACCUUCCAUGAUCAUUUACUUUAAGGGGAUUCUUGUAUCCAGACAACAAGACUUAUCUAGGUUGAAUCAGAUGUAACUUUUUGGGUAACACAUAGAAGCUACCCAAGGCAUGUAAGAAUUGGAUAACCACUAUUCAACCAACUAAAGAAAUAGUGUACCACCAAGUAGGUUAAGCACGACCUUUCUUCAUGAUGUAGUUGCAUAGGAGUUAGGUUGACUUGUACCAUAGCAAAACUAAUCCAGUGGAACUACUUUUGCCUUUGGGGCUUCCUUUUUAGGAUGAGUCGGUAGGUCUGAUAUUGGAAAUCUAUUGAUUGACACCUUUCAAAUUGAUUUUGACUUGCACUGGCAAAAAUGGGUACAAAGAAUCUUAUUUCGACAUAUAACCACUAUCUAUACAGCAAGACAUUGUUCAUAUUGUAAUCCAUAGCACAAAAUCAAAUACCACUUUCUACACAAAGGAUGAUCGAUAUCAAAAGGGAGAUUGCAAAUUUCUACCACUUUUGGGUUUUGGUUCAUAUUUCACCAAUUACCACUCACAUUUCCAUGAAAUUCAGUAGAAGUACAGAAUCAUGAGUCUUCUAACCUCUGUCCAAAAUUUAGCUUAAACGGGUACCAUUUGCGUAAGCAGAACACAUACAUACUAAACUUGUUUUGUGCUAAAACGGCAGCGUUCCGGACUGACAAGACAUCCCUCAACUCCAAAGUUUAAUUCACUAUUUGAUGAAUUAUAUCCUUCGUGGCUGUUAAUCCAUCAUUACCUUGCUUGAGAUUAGCCUUGUUACUAGUAACCAAUCAAUUGGCUCUCAGCACCAAAAUUUCUAGAGCUCCACUCUUAACCACAACAAUUGCGGUUGACGCUUAACAAUUGGUCACCCUCAAAGCAAGGAGAUAAGGAUUCACGCUAAAGAUGGUUGACUUUAGCUAUAUAACCAUGAUGCACAUAAAGAUCAAGACUUAGGAAAACUAGAUCAUAAGCACAAUGGUGAUGAUUGAUGCUUGUUCAACAGAUAACUUGUCGAACAUUAAGUAUCAUGUGUCCUUUUGGUUCGGCGUGGAUGACCCAUGUUGCUCAUUAAAUGGUCAUUGUUAUUGUAGGGACAGUGAGAUAGUGUCACUUGUCUACUAUCUCUUGUACUCUGUUAAUGUUUAUGUUAGUGACAUUUUCUUCAAAGGUUAUCCUCUUUGUAACUUCAUGGGAAGUUCUCCUACUUGCGUGUGAAGUAAGGAUCUUUUGAUCAAAUCUAGAUAGAUAAUUAAAGACAAACUCAUGAUGAGAUGACACAUUGGUGUAGUUCUAUAAUGGAGCAUGGCUAGCAACAACGAUACCAGCGCAUGCCGAGGAGCACAACCAUGUGUCGGCCGCCACAAGGGGUUCUCGGUUUCAUCAUGGCACCAUCAAUCAUUAACCAAGACACCAUUACCGAACAUACAACCCAAAAGAAAUCUCUCAUGGCAAAAUUUGAAUUGCAUAGCAGCGAGCACUAUGUUAAAGAGGGAUAGCAAACUAAGAUAGUCAUGAGAUUAGAGGUCCACAAGGAAGUGAUUUGAAGAUUAAAUAUAGCACUAUUGAACAUAAAUCACAUGAGAUUAAGAUGGAUAAACACAUAGAGACUCAAGAGAGUUGGAGAUAAAACGAUUGAGAUUUAAAAGAUGAAGUCAACACAUCGAUUAGGGGUUCCUUGCUACAACAAGAACAUGAUCUUCAAGGAAAAGAUUUUUGUAGAUCCAUGCAGCAACAAAUUAGUGUGGUGUUGACGAUCCUUAAGUAUCAAAUUUAAUUAUCAAAUAAAUAAAGAAAAGGAUCCAAAUGAAAACAACACCCAGACUUAGGGUUUUAUCUGACAGAAUUCCACGAGUUUUGUUGUUUGUCUAUUUCUGCAGGGGUUUGUCAGGAAAUACGAAAGAAAGGCCCACACGUCAGGAUUACAUAGAGAUAUUAAUGUGCCUCGCAAUUAUCUUACAUCUAGAAGACUCCAGAAGCCACGGGAACGAAGCGGAGGCAGAACGGGGCCUAGCCCAGGGCGCCCGCCCUAGAGACCAGGGCGCCCGACCCCUGUUGGUGCCCAAUUAGGACUCUCUUCGGGGAUCAUGCUCCACCGACCUAAAGGAUCAAGGAUAACCGUUCAAUCAAUGUCGGUUUGAUCCGAUGGCCCAUAUUCACUUGGAAGGACUAUAUAACUAGACCCCCUAGCCCCUGGAGGAGGGCACCUCUCAAUCCUAAUUCAUUAUUCAUCACAGAGAAGAAGCCUCUGAUCAAGCCUUAGAGCCACCACAUCAAUUAGAUCUCUAGAUUAGCAUAGCUACAUAGGAUUAGAACUAGAAGGAGUCAAUCUUCGAUUGGUUUCCGGAUCUGUCAAGAGGAUUCUUGGUAAUUCUCUAUUGUUCUUCAAUUGUUCAUCUUUGUUUUUCGAUAUUAUGAAUAUGACUUUGUUCUACUUCAAUAUAUUGGUUAUGACUUUGCUCUACUUGUUUAUAUUUGCAAUUAUAUUGUUCUUAGUUUAUCAUAGUUAUAAAAUUGGCUUAGUUAGAUUGGAAUUAUAUAUAUGUUUAGGAUCGUAUAGCGUUUAUCCAUCGGAUCCAUGAGUAAAUGAUAGAUAUUGUGUAGCCGUGGUGCUUAUACCGUAUUUAUCUGCGAUUGUACCCUAUAUGCCAGAUCGCGGUAUAUGCCAGAUCGUGGGGUAGUUCGUGGUAGUGACAGCUCCAUUGAUUCUUAUAUAGUCCCCCUCUCGUGUAUAGGGCGGGCAGAGCAACAUUAUUAUAGGGGAGUGAUUGCGAUGUUUCUCAUACUCCUUGAUAAUAUCACUAUGCAUGGGCGUAAUCUUGUCUCACAAUGAUUGCUAAGUAUAAUUGCACUAACUAUGAUAUGCUAGACUGUAUAGUUAAGAAUAACUUAGGAAAUAUUCUUGUAGUUCAUCCUAAUUCCAUGCUAAUGACUUGCUAGAAUAUCUCAUUGAGGUGCUUAUCAUAUUUAUUAUGUGGAUAAGUUAUGCUGAUCAGAUUAAUUAUCUUUGUCCCUAUUCAUUACUUUAUAUAUCCUUUAUGUGACACUUAUCCCUGUAUGAAAAAGUUAGAUAAAUGUUCUCAAUUAUACAUGCAAUGAUAGAUACUCAAUUCUAUAUUCCAUUCUAUAAUCAACGUUGAUGGUUACUAAUCCCUUCCCGAUGGUAAAAAUAUAAAUAACGAUACCUGGAAUACUUCCCGGUUAAAAUGCUACAUCGGUAUUAAUCUGUGCGCUUGCAGAUCACAUUUAUUAUUUAUUUAAAUGAGCAAUUGCAUAUUUCAAUACCGCGUCUCUUAUGUCAUGCUGGGGAUGACAACUUGGCUUAAGUGGCAUGAGGGAUAGGUUUGGCAUUUUUGGCGCCGUUAUCAGAAUUAGAAAACUAAGUCUACUUUUGGUAGUGACGUUAAGAAUGACCAACAAGCAUUUUUGGUACCGUUGUCGGGGAAGGUUGAUUACUAAUCAGGAAUGAAUAUAGAAUUUUGAGUCAUCAUUCACAUCACUAAUAUGAUUGAGCUUAUCAAUUCUCUCAUACAGUUUUACCGCGAUAUUUUUCUAUUUUAUCUUAUGCAGGGUAAUGUAUGAAUAGAAGACAUCUUCUAGGAAAUUUUGUUGACAAUACCGAAGCGUUAUUCAGAAAAACAAGAGCCAAGCUCAAGAAGAGAUCAUCAACACUUCAGCAAGAAGCUUCAUCCAAUCAAGAAGAUCACCGGAACUUGUCUUCAGAGUUCGAAGUCAUGGCGAACAAAACGAUCCGAGAGAUUUCAGCUCCCACUACGGACAACAUCCGUACUGGACCUGCUGCAGAUAUCGACGGCAACUUUGAGCUCAAGCGUGGACUUAUCAACAUGGUGCAAUCCAACCAGUUGUGUGGGAAGGCACACGAAGAUGCUUGUGCUCAUCUUCAACACUUCCUGGAGAUUUGCAGCUCAUUCACCAUAUCAGGAGUCCCCAGAGAUGCUAUACUACUUCGCCUCUUCCCAUUCUCACUGUUAGGGAGAGCGAAGCAGUGGUUCUACGCUACAAAGGAGAAGAAUACUACGUGGGCACUCUGCUCCAUGAAAUUUCUGGCUAGGUUCUUUCCCAUGGGCAAGACCAAUGCUCUCCGUGGGAAAAUUACAAGUUUUCAGCAACAACAUGACGAAUCCAUUCCAGAAGCAUGGGAGCGCUUCCAAGACUACAUCCUAGAAUGUCCCCAUCAUGGAAUGGAGAGCUGGCUACUCAUGCAGACGUUUUAUCAUGGGCUCGGCAACAGUGCCCGAGAAACCAUGGAUGCUACAGCUGGAGGAGCAUUCCUAUCACUCACCAUACCACAAGCCACAACUAUUGUGGAGAAGAUGGCGUCCAACUGUUGAUAUUUGGGAACGCAAUAAGGAAUUGAUCCGCAAGCGCACGGAUAUCGGUGAGCACUUCACCCGGGAAAUUAUCCAGAGUAUCGUAUUUAUUUUUUUACCACUAGGAGAAAGAGUGCAUCUGACUAACCGGUCUAUUACUACUAACCUUUAGGCACAAAGAAUGUCUUUCGAUGUGAGUGAUAAAUAGAGAAUACUGCAACCGUAGUCUCCUUCUAACCUUGGUAAGGCUGAUUUACUGUUCUAAUGGGGAGGUUAACGGAAUCUAGACAACACAAAGGAUGUUCGACCCGCACCUAUAAACCCUAUCCUUCCUACUAACGAGAUGUGAUCUAGGUUGACACUAGCUAACACCACUUAGAUACUAGGUUGUCAUCCCUAGCAUGGCGCCAGAGUGUACAAAGGUAUUUAUAAAUGUAAAGGCUCUCUAGAAAAUAAUCUAUUCUAUCCGCAAGCGCACAGAUAAAACACCUCAUUGUAGCAUUUCACCAGGAUAAGUAUUCCAGGUAUCGUUAUUUAUAAUUUUGCUCAAGGGAUCUAAAGAAGAUGGAAUUAAAUCAAGGGACAAAAUCUAUCAAGGCAUAGACUAGAGAUAAACUUGCAAGAACAUGAUUACUAAUAAGAAACUCGUCACACAGUCACAUACUUUAGCAGGGGGUAAACCAUAAAGAUAAUGAUAAUAAAGUAUAAGUUCAUGGGUAGAUAACACAGCGAUUAGAAAAUAGACUACUCCUCAUAUAUGUAGGUGAUGUCGGAUUAGCUAGAGAAUGGAUUCUAAGUUAUCUACUAACUACUAAGUCAUAAUCUACUCUAGUUAUCUACAAGAUCAUAUAUAGCAUAAAAGACUCUUCAUUCAUGUAUAAGGAACAUUAAUAAAGUAAAUCAGAACAUCGCAUGACUUACUCCACAAUACCGGUUCUGCCUGUCCUAUCAACGGAGGGUGGACUAUAUAAGAAUCAACGAAACUGUCACUAUCGCGAACUACCACACGACUCGGCCAAUAAGAUACAUUUGUAGAUAAAUAACAUCUAAGCACCACGCUCACAUGUGAUCUAUCACUUAACUCCCUCACCUCAAGAGCUAAGCGCUUUGCAAACUUAUACAUAAACUCAUUAUCAAUUAGAACUAUAUCAAAUAUAGAACUAGAGCAAACUAAGAGCAUAAUAAUUAGAUACAUAAUGCAAUUAGAACAAUAGAAUUAGAGAAAGAUAUGAAUAAUACCAAUCUUUAUUACCGAAGAUCCGAAUCCAGAGCGUAGUGCUCUACUUCUCUAAUUGCUAUCUAAUCAACCUCUAAACUUGAAGGAUUAGGGAGUAGCUAAUUCUAAUUCUCUGUGGGGAGAGAGAUCUAAACCCUAACUUUGAUGGCUACCUCUGAAUAAUGAUUUCUCCUCUCUUCCUCCAGGGGCCAGGGGGUCUGGUUUUAUAGUCCCCUUAAGUGAACGUGAGCCAUUGGAUCAAACCGACAUAGAUUGUAUGGUUUAGAUUCAUCCUUUAGGUCGGUGGAGUCUUGCCCCGAAGCAGAGUCCUGGUUGGCUUCCUGGCCAGGGCGGGCGCCCAAGGGGGGUGGGCGGGCGCCCUGCCCCCGAGCCCGAAUCGCCUCCCGUUCGUUCCCGUGGCUUCUGGAUCCUUCUAGAUUGAGGAAAAUUGCGCGGCACGUAAUUAUCUCGUUGUAAACAUGACAUGUGGGCCUUCUCUCCAUAAUUCCUGAUAAACCUCUGCAGAAAUAGAUAAACACCAAAACUCGUGGAAUUCUGUCAGAUAAAACCCUAAUUCUAGAUGUUUGUUUCGUUUUGAUCCUUUUUCAUGUUUAUUUGAUUAUUAAUUUUAGUACUUAAGGACCGUCAACAAACUCCGCCAAGCUUACCCUUUGCUCGUCCCUGAGCAAACAGGUAAACUCAGACAGAUCAGGAGUUGCUUUGAUGUUUUCUUUCCUGACAGGCACACAUGCUUUUACAUAAAAAUUCUUCCAGAUUAGAGUGAAGUGUUAUGAAGUUUAGUACCUGCACUUAAGUCUUAAGUAAUCGAAAGACAAAAUAGUUAAGUCAAGCACUAUUCCUCCUGUCUAUACUUCACCUUUGUUCCAGAGUUUUUCAUAAGUUUUCAAAAUAAAACUCAGAGUUCCCAGCAAUGAUUCUCUCAAGUCUCUCUAUAUGUGGUAUUUGUGGAUCCUUACCAUGAUAUCACUUACCUAUAGCUAAUGAAAUAUUUAAGUGGAGCUCAUAGGAGUGGAAAACAGCUCAUACAUAUGUUGUCUAAUCAAGCCAUGGAUCCAAAGGAACUCAACAUAUAAUUAAAUCAAGAUGUGCAUGUGUGAUGGAGUAAAUGAUAGUGAUGGUGAAAAUGCAUAAGUGAUAAAAUUUAGUUCUCAUUGCUCCUCAUAUUGCUAUGUCUCCUCCUCUUCUUUGAUCUUUGCUUUGGGAGAACAUGGGCUAUCUCUUUUUCUCUUUUUUUUCAGGUGGGUAGUAGAUACCCCUAAUUCUACUGUCGGACACUUGUCCAUUUUUUCCGCUCAAGUGGGCAUCUUUGUACCCCUAAUUCUACUUCGGACACUUGUCCAUUUUUACCUCUCGUCUCACUCUUUUUCUUUCUUUUCCGAGGUUCCGGGCACUUGCCCCUUUUUAUUUCCUCGCAUAUUUUUGCAUAACCCAUGCCUCUUCUACAUUGAAUCUUUUUAGAGAGAGAGAAUAACAGUACUUGGGACAGUGAGUGAUAAUAUUUUUUAGCAAUUUUAAUGAUGAAUGCUGUGGUAGAUGCGUGCAAGUGAAUAUCUUAAUUUAACCACAUGAAAAGCUUCCUAAGGGUCAACACAGCUCGAUCAAACUCAAUGUAAAUAUAGUAAAAGAUGUUAUAGCAAGUAUGGCUGUGGUAGGUAGUUUUGUUAUGCUAGGAACUCAUCAUGUGACUUGUAAGUUUUCAAAAUAAAUCUCCAGAACUUAGUGUAGUAGGAACAAGAUAAACAGUAGCUCAACUUUAUAUCAUGCCUUUCUCUUACCUAGACUUUAGUUUUAUGCUUCCCAAAGAUAGUAAUUUUAGUUUUAGUAAUUCCUAGAAGAACUCUAAUAUAAAAGCUAGGUACUUGUAAGUAAGCAAACAGAGCAACUGUUCAUCAUUUCCAUCAUGCAUAUUUUUGGUCUUUUUAUUUUUUCUAGAGAUUAAGCUCAGCAGAAAAAUAAAGCACACUUAUCUACACACUCUUUUUAUUUUGUUUUCAUGUUUAUAGAAUGCAGUAAAUUAAAGCAAGAAAAUAUUUAUUUGGUUUUCUAAGUUUUUCCUUUUAAGAUAAAUUAAAUACUAAGACAGAAUAGAAUAAAUAAGAAGAGCAUAUAAAAACUUACUUGAUAAAUUGGGGCGGAACUCCCCCAAGCUGGAUGUUGACGUCGGUCUUACCCGAUGUUCCAGAACUGCAUCAUGGUUGUGAUGUUGUCGUUCAUUGUUGUUGUAUCUUGUCUCAGCUCUUCUACUGUAGCGGCAUGGUCCUGGUUCCAUUUUUGUUGUUCUUCCAGGAGUCUUCCAUGUUCUGCUUGCGUGUUCUGGAUGUCGAGGAGGGUGUUGUCGGUACGAGUGAAGAAAGCACCGGCCUCUUGAUAGUAGUCAUUCGUGAAGGCGUAGGAGGCGUCGGAGUAUCGUCCUGCAUCAAAUUGGGGCGGAGGUCUGGAUCCUGAAGCUCUAUAUGGAUCAGUGGAGUACCUGCCCGUAUGAAAAGGCAGGUUUGUCCACUAGUGAUCUUGGCUCUCCGGCCAUGUCUCCUCUGUUGGCUCUUGUGGUUGCGCAUGACGAGCCCAUGGGUCUCGAAGGACUCGUGGAUUGUAAUCGCAUAAUGCAGGUGCGCUGCUUCUUCUGGUCCAGGGUCAGCUCCAUACCAAGUGCGUUCUCGGUGAGUGGUUAUCCUUUCAGAUGCCACUCGCUGUGGAGUUCUCUGGUUCACUGGUGUUGCAGCAAUCUCAAUCAAAAAGUUUUGCACAGAGUAGAGGCCAAGGUUCGGGUUAGGUAACCGAAUCUUGCCUUUAUCAUCAUACAGCAUGUACAUUAUAUUUCCCUCUUUCUUUAACAUCCGAGCUUGUCUAAAUGUGUCAUAGCCAUGAUAAAUUAUUAAUUCUUCUAUGAAGUCCAACGAUGAAUUUUCUAGUAAGUGGAGAUUAGUGGCUAGACGAGUGAUAAGUGAAGUACAUCCUACUGGUCCCUGAAGACUAGGUAUACUAAGCCAAUGUGAAACUAAUAGUGUAACAGGUGAAGUGGGUAUUUUACUAAUAGUAGCAUAUAAAAGUUGUAAAUCUCCUACUCUUACUUUCCUAAUAUCGUCACGAUAGAAAAGAUUGUACCCAAGCCAUUUGUGAAACAUCCUAAGAGUGGGGUGUUCCAUGUCACUGGUUCGGGCUUGACUAUAAAAAUUAUCUCUAGAUAUUUCUCUCCAAAACUGGUGUCUCUCAAAAUUGGGUAAAUCGGAGUCAAUGUUUAGGAUGCAUCUUGAAGAGAAACCAAGAUGGUCGCUCAGCUCUCUCCAAGAUAACAUAAUUUCCUGUUUGAACAUCCGAAAAACAAUUCCCCCCUCAUAGUAUUGUAAAGUGCAAAGAAAUUUGAGGGUGAGAAGACGAGAACCCAGCUCAGUUAUAUUCCAAAAAUUUGUCCAACCCAUCAUCUGAAAAAUUAAGUCAAAUUCAGUGUCCAUACCUAUUUCUCGUAGUAGGAUUGGAUCGAUAGUAGGGGUGUGAAUGAAAUCCUUGUUCUUCAGUUGCUGAUAUACUUCCUUCUCUCUUUGGGUCUUCAGUCCAAGGUCUCCUAUCUUGAGAAGGACCUUGACUUGCUGGCCUGAUGAAGAUGAUGGAGCUUGUGUGGGUGUCGGGUCGACGCUCAUCUAUGAUGGCUGUGAGGAGUGUCGGGCUGAACUCCUUGUACCAAUGUUCUUGAGAGCCUUUCCUGCAUUUUUUGCCUUCUUAAACAUCCUGCAAACAAAAGUUGGCAAAAACACAACUGGUGGAAAAUUUGAGAUAAAAUGUUAGUGGUCAGCUGUCCGGAGUGUCAGUAGUCCAGGGGUUAAUCGUUCAAGACAAGUUUCUAUUUUGGUAGAGCCUCCCCCCAAAAAAAACUUUUACUUCCGCUUAGACAACAGGAUCACUACUUGCUAGGUGACAAUUACUCUCUCAAAAGAACUCCAACCUUCCCUUCCACUCUCCUCUUUCUCUCUACUCUCUUCUCUUCACUACAAAAGCUCCUUCUUGGGAAACUGAGUUUUGUGUGGUUUUCUGAAGUGUUUGUGUGAAGAGAAGGGGAGCUGGAGGUGGCCUUUUAUAGGCUGAGCACGGGACAGGGCGGGCGCCCACCCCUUGUGUCCAUCGUGGGUGUGCCUCCUCCACAUGCUUCCUUGCUUUGAUCUCACGCAGAAUAAUAUUGUGUUGGUGGUGGUUGGACGGUGGAAAGAUGUCAAGUGAGUGGAAACAUAUUGGUGGAUGAAAUUAUGUGAUGGGAUGUAUGUGAGAUGAAGUGUAUGACAUGUGGGACCCAAAGAGUGUGGGUCAAGCUUCUAGAAGAUCAAUAUAAUGCAGGAAAAAUCUAUGAGAAUUGAAACCUAAUUAAAAUGAUUAUGGAAAAUAUUUUUGUGCCUCCACAAUAAUUAAUAAAUAUGGGUUGUUACACCACGAACAUUAUUUAUAUGGGGUUUUUGAUUAUUAUAAUUAUGCUAUGACUAAUGCAAGAAUAAUUAUGCAAGAAUUUAAAUAUGAGAAAAUUAAUAAUGCGGAUAAAUACCGAUUUACCUCCCAGUGAGGGUUUGGGAUUUUUAGGUCCCCCAAGCUGGACCUCCAAAUCUUUUAAUCUUCUGAGUUUCCUUCCUCCGGAGAUGGUGUCUCCAGUGGUUCUUCAUGAGCUUCUUUCACUGUAGAGUCUCUCUCUGGUCUGGGUUUGAAUGUGAAAUGUUCUUCUUGACCGUUUAUGUUGAACUUGAUUUCUCCUUUCCCGACAUCAACGUGGGCAUUGGCAAUGCUCAGAAAUGGCCUUCCAAGGAUGAUGGACACUUUUGAGUCAGGACUCAUGUCCAGUACUACGAAGUCUACUGGCACCAGGAAAUCUCUGAUCUUGACUGGAAUGUUCUCGGCGAUGCCCAAUGGGUGUCGAACCGAUUGAUCCGCUAGUUGUAGGCACAUUGAUGUUGGUUCUAAGGUUGCAUGCUCAAGCUUUUUGUAGACUGAUGCUGGCAUCACACUGACACUUGCUCCAAGAUCACAAAGUGCAUUGUUGAAGUGUUGGUUUCCGAUCGAGCAGUCAAUAGUGGGGCAUCCUGGAUCUUCCUUCUUCUUUGGUGGUUUGUUGAGGAUGGCCGCACUACAUUCUUCUGUCAGCUUGAUAACCUCAGUGGUGGGCAGUGGUCUCUUCUUGUUAAGAAUAUCUCUGAUGUAUUUUGCAUAGGUAGGUACCUGUAUGGCAUCGAGCAGAGGUAUGUUGACAUAUAAUUUCUGAAUGACUUCUACAAACUUACCAAACUGCUCAUCCAACUGCAGUCCUCUGUUUUUUCUGGGAAAUGGCAAAUAGUUGGUGUCGUAAAAAUCUUUCCUCAUUUCUCCAGUUCUUGGUGGUUGUAGCAGAUCUUCUGCUUCAACUGGGCUUUCUUCUUCUAUCACUGCUGGUUGCACUGGUGCUGAUGUUCUUUGUUUCUCUUUUGGCUAUGGUGGAUCUCUGGUAGCUUUGCCUCCUCUAGUAGUUAUAUUCUUUACUUGCUCAAGGUUAGUAGCAACAGGCAGUGCAGCAGCUAACUUUAUUAAUUUAAGCUCUACCCUUUUAUUAAGAGUAUUUUGCUCAUCAAAGGCAGUUAGUAGAAAAUCCAUUUUAUUGUAUAUAUCUUUUAGAGAUGAUUUAUUUGUAUCUAGCCUUUGUUUAACUUCAUCAUUAAUUUUGGUUUGUUGAACAAUUAUCUCUUUUAAUGAAAGUUGCUUGACAGUAUUACCUGAAUUAAUACCUUUGCUAUUGGGUUGACUCGAAGUUGGGUGAUAUUUGUAUGCUGUCUCAAUGGCCCUUUGAUCUUCUUUGAACUUGGCCCUCUGGUCAAUCCAAUGGAGCAAAAUUUCCAUCUUAGUUGAUAAUGCUUUUACUUCUUCUAGUAUUUCUUCAGUUUGACGACAUUGUUGAGCUUUAUCUUGGAACCAGCUUUGGUUUUCUGCUAUCUUAUCCAAAAGUAUCUCUGCUUUUCCAGUUGUAAGCUCCAAGAAUGAUCCUUUAGCAGAUGCAUCUAGGCACUCACGAGUCUUCUGGGUUAAUCCAUGGUAGAAGGUCUGCAUAAGUAACCAUGUAGCCAUCCCAUGGUGAGGACAAUCUGAUAUGUAUCCUUGAAAACGCUCCCAUGCUUCUGAAAUGGCUUCUGUCUUCCGCUGUUGGAAACUGACAAUAUUUCCUCUUAAGGCAGUUGUUUUGCCUAUAGGGAAAAACUUUGAUAGAAAGGCAUCUGACAAGUUCGUCCAGUUGUUGAUGUUAUCUUGAUGAGUGUAGAACCACUUCCUCGCUUUUCCUUCUAGUGAUAAUGGAAAAAGGCGAAGCAGUAUGACGUCUUUGUCAACUCCGUUGAUGUGGAUUGUGCUUCCAAUCUCUAAGAAAUUCUGCAAGUGUGCACUGGUAUCUUCAUGUGCCUUUCCACUGAAUUGUGUAGCUUGUACCAAAUUGAUGAGGCUUGACUUGAGCUCAAACUCAAGUAUUCCUUCUUCUACUGCAAAUCUUGGACCAGUUGGAAUGUUCUCAAGGCUUGGAGCAGAGAAUUCUUGCAAGGUCUUUUGUGCCAUAGCUUCAGCAAUUGGUAGCUAGCUUCUUCUUCUCUUGAUUGCUUUGGUUCUGAUGAUGAAGAGUUGAAUGUACCCAAAGUCAAUCCUGUUAUACCCUGUAUAAAAAUAUAAACAUAGAAAAACAACAGGGUGAACCUGCCAAAGCAGCGGUGCCUUGUUAUGAUUUCUCACUUAGUAGCUGUUUUAUGCAAUUAUUUCUCUAUAGUCUAGUCUAAUAUUUUAUAUGAAUAACCUUGAUUGAUUUUCUGGCUUUCCAUAAUAAUACCCUUUUUUUCCCUUCUAUGACUUAUUACUGAGGCUCAUAUAAUUCCUAUAAAUCCCUGGCAACGGCGCCAGAAAUGCUUGUUGACACUAGCUAACACCACUUAGAUACUAGGUUGUCAUCCCUAGCAUGGCGCCAGAGUGUACAAAGGUAUUUAUAAAUGUAAAGGCUCUCUAGAAAAUAAUCUAUUCUAUCCGCAAGCGCACAGAUAAAACACCUCAUUGUAGCAUUUCACCAGGAUAAGUAUUCCAGGUAUCGUUAUUUAUAAUUUUGCUCAAGGGAUCUAAAGAAGAUGGAAUUAAAUCAAGGGACAAAAUCUAUCAAGGCAUAGACUAGAGAUAAACUUGCAAGAACAUGAUUACUAAUAAGAAACUCGUCACACAGUCACAUACUUUAGCAGGGGGUAAACCAUAAAAAUAAUGAUAAUAAAGUAUAAGUUCAUGGGUAGAUAACACAGCGAUUAGAAAAUAGACUACUCCUCAUAUAUGUAGGUGAUGUCGGAUUAGCUAGAGAAUGGAUUCUAAGUUAUCUACUAACACUAAGUCAUAAUCUACUCUAGUUAUCUACAAGAUCAUAUAUAGCAUAAAAGACUCUUCAUUCAUGUAUAAGGAACAUUAAUAAAGUAAAUCAGAACAUCGCAUGACUUACUCCACUAUACCGGUUCUGCCUGUCCUAUCAACGGAGGGUGGACUAUAUAAGAAUCAACGAAGCUGUCACUAUCGCGAACUACCACACGACUCGGCCAAUAGGAUACAUUUGCAGAUAAAUAACAUCUAAGCACCACGCUCACAUGUGAUCUAUCACUUAACUCCCUCGCGUCAAGAGCUAAGCGCUUUGCAAACUUAUACAUAAACUCAUUAUCAAUUAGAACUAUAUCAAAUAUAGAACUAGAGCAAACUAAGAGCAUAAUAAUUAGAGACAUAAUGCAAUUAGAACAAUAGAAUUAGAGAAAGAUAUGAAUAAUACCAAUCUUUAUUACCGAAGAUCCGAAUCCAGUGCGUUGUGCUCUACUUCUCUAAUUGCUAUCUAAUCAACCUCUAAACUUGAAGGAUUAGGGAGUAGCUAAUUCUAAUUCUCUAUGGGAGAGAGAUCUAAACCCUAACUUUGAUGGCUACCUCUGAAUAAUGAUUUCUCCUCUCUUCCUCCAGGGGCCAGGGGGUCUGGUUUUAUAGUCCCCUCAAGUGAACGUGAGCCAUUGGAUCAAACCGACAUAGAUUGUAUGGUUUAGAUUGAUCCUUUAGGUCGGUGGAGUCUUGCCCCGAAGCAGAGUCCUAGUUGGCUUCCUGGCCAGGGCGGGCGCCCAAGGGGGUGGGCGGGCGCCCUGCCCCCGAGCCCGAAUCGCCUCCCGUUCGUUCCCGUGGCUUCUGGAUCCUUCUAGAUUGAGGAAAAUUGCGCGGCACGUAAUUAUCUCGUUGUAAACAUGACAUGUGGGCCUUCUCUCCAUAAUUCCUGAUAAACCCCUACAGAAAUAGAUAAACACCAAAACUCGUGGAAUUCUGUCAGAUAAAACCCUAAUUCUAGAUGUUUGUUUCGUUUUGAUCCUUUUUCAUGUUUAUUUGAUUAUUAAUUUUAGUACUUAAGGACUGUCAACAAUCUACAAAGGUAGCUCGGAAUUGUCACGUUCCUCACUACUACCACGGUCCAGCUAGUCAGGGAAUAUCUAUGAGUACCCCAGCCUAAACACCACGUUUACGCCAGAAAUGAUUACUCUAAACUCUACGCGAAGAGAUUAAAGUAAACUCAUAAACCAUAAGAACAAUAAAUCAAGAACUUACUAGAAUUUAGAAGUCGAAUUACUGAAGAAUCCUAGGAGCAAGCCUCGGGUUAGGAGAACUUGAUCCCGUAGGUACAAGCUUGGAGUAGACACCGACAGGCCGGGCUUCCUCCAAUCUACACCUCCACUCUAUCUCUCUCAAUCUAGUAGAAACUAGAAGAUCUAUUUCUACCUUACAUUGAUUGCUAAGCCUAAAAAGAAAUAUUAAUUAGAGAAGAGGUUUUCCUUCGAGGGCACCCCUCAGUCUCUAUGAUAAUUUCUUCAUGUCUUCUCCAGGGGCCAGGGGGGUCUCCUUAUAUAGUCCUCCCCUUCUAUGCGUUUUUGGGUCGAUAGGCGAGGUGGUACUAUGUUUUUCUUGAUCCAAUAGGUCGGUGGAAUAUCCCGAGCGAAGAGAGUCCUGAAAGCAAUCCAGCAGGGGGCGGGCGCCUAGGUCACCAGGGCGGGCGCCCUGGGCCUGGCCCCUUUCGGCCUCCGUCUUCUUCCCGUGGCUUCUGGAGUCUUCUAGAUGGUGGAAAAUCGUGCGGUGCGUUGAUAUCUCUAUGUAAUCCCGACAGGUGGGCCUUUCUUCCUUAUUUCCUGAUAACCCCCUGCAGAAAUAGAUAAACAACAAAACUCAUGGAAUUCUGUCAGAUCAAACCCUAAUUCUAGGUGUUAGUUGCAUAUUGGUCCUUCCUCUUGUUUAUUUGAUAAUUAAAAUUGAUACUUAAGAACCGUCAACAAAUAACCCCAUACUUAGGCUUUUACUCAUCCUCGAGAAAAGGAUGGUUAAGAACAAUAUCUGGGGUAAAACAUUUAAAAGCAUUCUCUUUAUAAUUGCAGGGUGUUAAAAAUUCCACUGUGUACCAUAGUCAGGGAAGUUUAUGGUUAAGAGUAGAGAUCCUUUCUUCUCAAUCCUGUCACUAGGAGUUUUUGUAUAUUUUUGAAAGAAAGUUAGCAUACCUUUUGAUCCUCAUAGGUUCUCUCAGAUCACUCAUUAUCUUUUGUAUAUCUCACUGAGGCUGUUUUCUUUUUGCAAAAAUUCUCAAGCAUACUUACUUUGCAUGUAUUGCCUGAUCAAAACGGGAUCCGUGGAGGGGAAUGUCAUACUCUUAGAUCAAAGACUUUGGAAAUUAAAAUCUUUGUCAACUCUUGCUGGCAUAUUGCUUAUUAGAGGGACCAUGGGCUAUCAUUUUUUUUAAGUGGAUACCCAGGUACCCCUAAUUCUACUGCCGGACACUUGUCCAUUUUUUUCUGCGAGGUUGUCGAGCACUUGCUCCUUUUUAUUUCCUCGAAAUAUUUUUAUUUUUGCAUAGCCCAUGCCUCUAAUGCAAUAAUACUUCAGAAGAGUGAAUCUUUCUAAAAUAAUGUCUUGAUCUUAGGAGCAUGAUAAAUCUCUCAACAAGGGUCUAACUCAUUUUGAACAAACUCAAUACAGAGUAAAUAGCUUUUAUAAUUAUAAUUAAUAUUUUUAGUCUUAUGAGGCAUAAAACACUGAGGAUGGUAGCUAUAAUUUUGAAUAUUUUGAAAUAAAUUCUCCAAGCAACAAUGAUAUCAAGAAUAAGAAACUCAUACUCUACCAUCACAUAUUCCAUAUUGACUUAAGUGACACAGGGUUUUAAAAUGAUUUUCAAUAAUUGUAAGUUUUCAGGAAAUAUCACAGAUUGAGAUUAAUCAUGAUUAGAAAUAUUUUAAUCUUUUUAUUUUAUCAUGUCGGAAACAAUAAUCUGCAUAAUCCAAAAUAUAUGUAUGUGUAAAGUGUGCAGAGUGUGUAUCUGAAUCGUGGAGUGGUGUAGUCGGAGUGUGGUUGGCAUGUCGAGGGAUCUCCCCCAUACUUGUUUUCUGCUUUCUUGCACAAAAAAUAAAGUAGAGACACACAAGACAUAAUAAUAGUAAUACUCUUUAUUAAUCUUGAGGCAUUUAUUACAAAAGACUAGUAGCAAACUGACGAUAGUAGCAAACUGAUGAUAAUAGUAAACCUAACCCGAAUUUAAAGAUAAAUGACUAAGAUGCAUUGCCUCAAGGUCUAAUCUAGAUAACUUAGCGGCGCUCUAAUUCCUUGAUCUUCUUGUUGGCACUAGCAAGAUCCUGCCUAAGGCCUAGUAUAAUAGUGUUGUGGUUAGAGAGCUGCCUAGUGAGGGAAUUAAUCGAGGACUGGAGAUCUAUGAUAACUCUAUCUAGCUUGCAAACUUCCUCAUCAAUAUCCAUUAUAGUCUUGCGACGCUUGGGAGGUGUCUCAAAAGCAUUGAGAGAGUGCUUCGGGGCUGCCUUUGGAGGGAUGAAAUGGACUUUGGCUGCUCUAAUCCCUUCAAAGUAAGGCCUUUCCUCCUCCGUAGUGUAGCGAAUACUGCUGAUCUCGCCGCUCCGGUUGGUCUUGACUCCAACGACCCUCUCAUUGGGUCUAGGUGGAAGGAUCCUUGUGCCGGUUGGCACCUUGAUAGUGGUCUUCGUCUUGGAUGAUGAUCCUUUGAGGAGUAGGGGUUGUGGCGGUGCGGUGAGAACUGGUUGAGCAUGGUAAGAUUGGGCGGAGCUGCGUUGGCGUAAUGGCAUGGCUUCUAGCUGUCGCUCUGUGUUGGCCGGGACGAGAGCACGGGCAUCAGGGUCUUCCACAGGCUCCAUGUUGAGGUUGAAGGGGACGACUUCCCAAUCAUCGUGGUACUUCUCGGCCAUUGGAGCAGCAAGGAACUAAUCAAGCUCAAAUUUAAGGAGAGCUAAUCAAGCUCUAUUUGAAGGAGAGAAGGCUUGGUGGCUUGGUGUUUGAAAACUGAGGUCAGGGGUCUGUUUAUAUAGGGGUCAAAAGGGUGCCUCUAUGGGUUGUUCGGGUUGCUCCCAUUGACUUGCGUGGGAAACUUUCCAUCCGAGGGAUUAUUCGAAUUAACAUAAGUGCAUUUUCCAUAACAGAGAAAAUCGGGACCGAGGGGGAACAGGAGCUGGGCGCCCGCCCACCUGAGCUGGGCGCCCGCCCUCUCUCUGGCUCCUCUGUGGACCCACUUUCUCGAGCGCGUUUCUAGAUACGAAGUUAUUUAGAAAAAUAUAUAUAUGACCCAAAAGCAUUAGACUAAAAAGGUCGGGCUCUAAUUCUCCAUGGGAAGGUAAAAGUGGACUACGUCUAUUUCUUCAAAUUCCUCAUUGGGCUCUAAAAAUAAUUUAAGACGUUGACCAUUUACCUUGAAUAACAUACCUUCGUCAUUUUGAAGUGUGAUAGCUCUGUGGGAUGAUGAAUUAAUUACCUUGAAUGGUCCUUCCCAUUUGCUCUGGAGUUUUCCAUGCCCGAAAAGCUUUACCCUGGAAUUAAAAAGUAAUACCUUAUCUCCGGGUGUGAACUCCUUCUUGAUUCUCUUGUCAUGCCACCUUUUUACUCUUUCUUUGUAGAUCUUUGAGUUGUGAUAUGCCUUCUCUCGCCAUUCUUCCAAUUCUGAUAGUUGCAUUCUUCUAUAAUCUCCAGCAACAUCUAGGUCCAUAUUCCAUCUCUUUAUGGCCCAGUGUGCUUUGAACUCUAGUUCAACAGGUAGAUGGCAAGUCUUCCUGUACACCAAUUGGUAUGGAGACAUUCCAAUUGGGGUCUUGUAUGCUGUCCGGUAUGCCCAAAGUGCAUCAAGUAACUUGUCUUUCCACGUCGUUCCCAUUUCAUUUACUGUCUUCUGAGGAAUAUUCUUGAUUUGUUUGUUGGAAGUCUUUGCUUGGCCACUUGUCUGAGGAUGAUAAGGGGUAGCGACGUUGUGUCGGAUUCCAUGUCUUGAUAGAUACUGCUUGAAGCGUUUGUCGAUGAAGUGUGCUCCUCCAUCACUUAUCACUACUCUAGGGACUCCAAAUCUUGGAAAUAUAAUUUCUUCGAACAUCCUUUUUGAACUGACGUUGUCGGCAUGCUUGCAAGGUAAUGCCUCUACCCACUUGGAGACAUAAUCAACUGCCACCAAGAUGUACUCGCACUUCUUUGAUGGAGGAAAUGGACCCAUGUAGUCUAUUCCCCAGACAUCAAAGAGCUCAAUCUGAAGGUUGUUGGUGAGUGGCAUUGCAUCCCUUGUAUUUAUGUUUCCGUGCCUUUGACAUGGCCCACAUCUUCUGAUAUAUUGCCUCGUGUCUUCAUACAUUGUAGGCCAGUAGAAUCCACACUGCCAGAUCUUUGAAUGUGUACGGAAUGCUCCAUAGUGACCUCCAUAUGGUGAUGAAUGACAUCUGUCGAUGAUCUUCCAUCCUUCCUCAGUGGUCACACAUCUCCUGAGUAAGCCAUCAGAGCAUACUCGGAAGAGGUAUGGCUCAUCCCAUAGAUGUGAACGACUUUCUUGAAUAAGCUUCUUCUUGUUUGCUCCUCGUGGUACAUACCCUGAAACCAUAAAAUUAACAAUAUCUGCAUACCAGGGGUCAGACCUGUUAAUCCCGUAGAGCAUGUCGUCCCGAAGUGAAUCAUUGAUGGGGGUUUCCUGUAGACUCUUAAAAUACAUUCUAGACAAGUGAUCAGCAACAGAAUUUUCUACUCCCUUUUUAUCUUUUAUUUCUAAGUCAAAUUCUUGGAGUAAUAAGAUCCAUCUAAUCAGGCGAGGUUUAGCAUCUUUUUAGUGAGCAAAUAUUUUAGUGCAGCAUGAUCAGUGUAAACAAUUAUUUUAGCUCCAACUAAAUAAGAUCUAAAUUUAUCAAUGGCAAAGACAACAACCAUAAGCUCUUUUUCAGUGGUUGCAUAGUUAAGUUGAGCUCCGGUCAAAGUUUUACUGGCAUAAGCAAUUGCAUGAUGCUUCUUAUCUUUAGUCUGUCCCAAUACUGCCCCCACAGCAUAAUCACUAGCAUCACACAUAAUUUCAAAAGGCAGCGACCAAUCAGGGGUUGCAUGAUUGGUGCAGAGAUGAGUGCUUUCUUUAAUAAAUUGAACGAUGUUAGACAUGCAUCAUCAAAUUCGAAAGGAGCAUUCUUGGCUAGCAAAAGAGUAAGUGGUCUAGCAAUAAAUGAAAAAUCUUUUAUGAAUCUACGAUAAAAACCAGCAUGGCCAAGAAAGCUUCGAAUUCCUUUUAUGUUUACAGGUGGAGGUAGUUGUUCAAUUACUUCAAUUUUAGCUUUGUCUACCUCAAUUCCUCUUUCAGACACUAAGUGUCCCAGCACUAUUCCUUCCCUAACCAUAAAAUGACAUUUUUCCCAAUUAAAGAUUAAGUGCUUUUCUUCACAUCUUUGCAAAACCUUGUCUAAGUUUUCAAGACAACUAUCAAAAGUUUUUCCAUAAACAGAGAAAUCAUCCAUGAAAACUUCCAUAAUCUCUUCAAUCAUAUCAGAAAAUAUAGACAUCAUGCAUCUUUGAAAAGAAGCUGGUGCAUUACAUAACCCAAAAGACAUUCUACGAUAAGCAUAAGUUCCAUACGGGCAUGUAAAAGUGGUUUUGCUUUGAUCAUCAGGAUGGAUCGGGAUUUGAUGAUACCCUAAAUAUCCAUCUAAGAAACAAAAGAAUGAAUGGUUCGCUAAUCGCUCUAGCAUCUCAUCUAUGAAAGGUAAAGGAAAGUGAUCCUUUCUCGUGGCUUUGUUUAGUUUUCUAUAGUCUAUGCACAUCCGCCAUCUGUUGACGGUCCUUAAGUAUCAAAUUUAACUAUCAAAUAAACAAAGAAAAGGAUCCAAAUGAAAUCAACAUCAAGACUUAGGGUUUUAUCUGACAGAAUUCCACGAGUUUUGGUGUUUGUCUAUUUCUGCAGGGGGUUAUCAGGAAAUAAGGAAGAAAGGCCCACACGUCGGGAUUACAUAGAGAUAUCAACGUGCCGCGCAAUUAUCUUACAUCUAGAAGACUCCAGAAGCCACGAGAAGGAAGCGGAGACCGAACGGAGUCAGGGACAGGGCGCCCGCCCAAGUCCUUAGGGCGCUCGCCCACCUUUUUCGGCCAAUCACGCUCAAUCUCGCGGAUUAUGCUCCACCGACCUAAAGGAUCAAGAAUAACCGUUCAAUCAAUGUCGGUUUGAUCCGACGGCCCAGGUUCACUUGAGGGGACUAUAAAACCAGACCCCUUGGCCCCUGGAGGAGGCACCCCUUGAUCAUUAUUCAUUAUUCAUAAACAGAGCAAAAGCUAGGGUUUAGAGAUGAGAGCUCUCCUCUCUUCUCUAAACUAGAGUAGAUCUAGAUAGUAGCGAGAUGGAGAGCGAAGGAGGAUUAGAGGAGAGGCCGGCCUGUCGGUUCUUCCUCCGGUUGUACUUCGCCAUGAUCAAGCUCUAAUCAAGCUUGCUCAUGGGAUGACUCUGGUAAUCUACUUCUAAUUCAUUAUGCAAUUACUAAUCAUGUAUGUUCUGGUUCACAACUCUUUUGAGUACUUCUAAUCUAUAGGACCCUAUAGGUUAGAGUUGUAGUAUAGGUGUAAGCGUGGUGCUUAGACCUGGAUUACUUGUGGAUAUCCCCUGACUAGCUAGAUCGUGUGGUAGGCCGCGUAGGUGACAGUUACGUUGGUCCCCUGUAGUCCACCUCUCGUUAGCAGGACGGGUAGGGUUUAUCGGCCUAUGGAUAAGCAUCCUUUGUGGUGUACUCUUAUCACGUGGUUCGUCCCAGACAUAGACAUACCCCUUUGAAGUAGAGAAACUAUAGUUAUCCUCUCUAUUCUGCUACAAUCGCCCAUAUACUAGAAUUGCUCUAUUCUCUAUUCCCAUAUUAUCACUCACUGUUAUCUUACCUUUAAUAUUGUUCUUAUUCGAUUCUAUCAUCUUUCCUAUUUACACCUAUCUAUCUAUCUUGGUUAAGUUAGAGCGUAGUUGGUUCUCCCGUUUCCCUGUGGAUACGAUAAAACCUUUAACCGGGUAAUAGCUUCAACGGUAUCCGUGCGCUUGCGGAUUAUCUGUGUGCGUAUAAAUACCAUAGUACACUCUAGUGCCAUGCUGGGGAUGACAACCUAGUAUUCAAAUGGUGUUAGCAAGUGUCAACAAGCAUUUUUGGCGCCGUUGCCGGAGAAACGGUUGCUGAGUUGACUACGAACUAGUUUAAUCAUUUUAUAAAAAAUAAAUAAAAUAUAUAUAUAUAUUUUCCUUUUAUCCUUUGCCUCAUCUCUGCUAUUCUUUCUUCUUAUCUAAUCCUUGAUCUCUGGUCUAUUAUGAAUUCAAACAUGUCUAUCUAUGAAUUUCAUAGACCUAUGGGCACACAUCUCGAACCACCAAAAUCUUUAAAGCCUAUCAUAGCAUCUAGUUUUGAGAUAGACCCCGAAUACAUAGAAUUUAUUCAAAAACAACCUUUCUCAGGAGAAGGUGAGGAAAACCCAUACACACACCUAAGAGAGUUUUAUCGAGUCUGUGACCUCCUUCGCAUAGAAGGCAUGUCCGAUGAGACCCUUAAAUGGAAGCUCUUUCCGUUCUCUUUAACGGGAAAAGCUAGACAUUGGUAUAAACUCAAAGUAGGGAGUGUUCAUGGAGAUUGGAAGGAGUUAUAUAGUAGUUUUCUUUCUAAAUAUUUUCCAAUCUCCAAAGUGGUGGAACUUCGGCGUGAGAUUCUUUCUUUUAGACAAAUGGAAGAAGAAUCUCUUGGCAAAUCAUGGGACCGCUUUAUUAACCUUACUCUCACUGGCCCAAAACUUUCUAUUCCAGAAGAAGUUCUUCUAAUUCACUUUUUUGAGGGCCUUAGUAGGAAAAAUAGGCAAACCCUUCAUGCGGCCUCUGGAGGAUCUUUCCACCACCUAUCCGCUAGUGAAGCUUGGAAUUUGAUUGAUUUAAUGAGCGGAAAGUCUCCUAGCUUUUAUAUCCCUGAGAAAGAGAAAGAACCAGUUCCUAGACAAGAAGAAGAUGUUUCGAUAGCCAGAUCACAACCACUUCAAUCCCAAACUUUAGCUAUCGAUCCUAAACCAUCAAUACCCCAAAAUUCUCCAAGGGAGGAAGGAAUUCCGACCUUAAAUCUUUUAGAUGCUGAUUGUUUAGACUUCUGGUUCUAUAAGAGACCUUCAAGCAGGGAUAAUUCAAAUCCUUGCAAUAAUGUUUCUCUUAGAGAAUGUCCUGGUUCCUAUCAUGAAGAAGUCGAGGAUGACACUUCAAGUGAAGGAGAGCUAAGCCAUAUAGACAAUUCUAUCUACUCCCCUUCCAUGUUCACAAGUUCUAAAUCCAUCCUUGACCUUAGAGAUCCUUCUUAUCCCUCUUCUUUUCAGUCUCAUGAUGAUCCUAGCAAUUCACCAAGACGACCAAACCAUAGGAGUCAUGAAGACCAUAAGGAUGGCAUGUCAAGUAAUGCCAUAGAAGGAGAGCUAAGCCAUAUAGAAAAUUCUAACACCUCCCCUAUUUUGAUCACAAGUUCUAAAUGGCUAGAAUGUGUAGAAUGGAUGGAUAAGGAAGAAGCCUUAAUGGGUUCUGACUUUGGCUCAAUUUCAAAUGGUGAGUUCUUGACUCCCUUUGAAGAUGAGAUUCAUCCAACUACAGAAGAGGACAUAGGUAAGACCAAUCCAGGAGAAACUCCGAACAUUCAGAUUGGAGACGAAGAUAACACUAAUGAGCAUGGAAUUUAUUUCAUAGCCAUUUCGUUUACUCCAUGCUCAUAUGCAACAUCUUCCCAAUCUAUUGGUCUCUCCGACAUCACCACACUUGAGAUCUCCAACCCCCUCUUCCUUUCUAUUUAUAAAAACUUUAAAAGGGCGGUUGUCGAUGCAUAUGUCUAUAAUAAAUAUUGCAGAUCUCGUUGAGUUGAUCUAGAUAUAGGUUGGUGUCGGAGGGGAAACCACUUCGCCAACAUAAACUAAUGGUUUCCCAAGGACAAGCUUAGUGUCUUAAAAUAAGCAUUGAUCAGAUCGUAACAUGAGCUUUUAAUUAUUUGCAACAUUACCUUGCGUAUUGAGCAUAUAAGGAUAAUUGUAAAAAAUAUUCCUUCGGGUAUUCUUGUCACUAACCUUUCUAGGAUUGGAGCAAGAAGAUCGGAUGAAUGACAAACACAAGGUAUGUCCAACCAAUCAUCAUACAACAUUGAAUUAAAUUCAUCCAAACUUGAAUUUUGCAAAAUUCAAGCUUGGGGGAGUACUUUACAUAAAAACAUCCUUUGCCAUGUUGCUAUGCUGGUUGAGACAUGCUCAAUUUGUUAAAUACUAAUCACACUACUUCAUCUCCACUUGAGUAGAUCUCUAUAAAUGCUGUCAUGCUACCUUUGUCUAUUUACUAGCAAGUGUUGGUUUGGAAGUACUCGCCAUACUUCCAUUGGCAUUUAAAUUAAGCAUGGUGUUUAGGUUAAAUAGCCUUCCUUAAUCUAAUUAGACAUGGAGUCUAGUUUGGUUAUUGAACUAAAAAAAUUGCUUGAGUAGAUAUUGGUAUAUUUUGUCGGACUAACCCCUGCAGAAAAACUUUCAAUAUCGAUUUGGGAAGUCCUGAGAUAAACUCACAUCAGAGACGAAGAGAGUGACACAUGAAUUUUAACAAUUUACACAAGAAGGACAUAGCUCAUUCAUCAAAGAGAGAUGAUCCAUGGAGGGUGCCACAAACACGAUGCACAACCGCUAAGAAAGGAAAGCUUCCACAAGAUGAUACUGUACCAUCACUCUUCAAGCAAGGUAACAUCUUAAGGUACUUGACUAUCACUUUUAUAAGCUUCCCCUUGGUUCUGGCGUUCAUAUAAAUAAAAGAGACAAACGUGUAUGAUUUACAACUCUAGAUUAACCAACCCAACUGAUUCAACAUGUUUAGUCCUUUAAUCCUUGUUCUUAGUACUACCUCCAUGAUCCCACACUCCUAAUCAUAUGAGCUAAAAUGUUACACAUUCAAUCAUUGAGAGAUAUAAAGAAAAAGACAUAUACAUAGAUAGAUUAUCUUUCCAUAAGAUUGAGCGAUCUGAUCUGACAAAUGUUAUAAGUGCUACACUCAUGAACUUAUCAUCCAUCAACUUUGUCUUGCUCACUAUGCUUAAGGUUAGAGAAGAACAAAUACACUUUUGGUUCUGUUGGUGUUUUCCACCAACAAGGCCCUUGCACUUGAACUCUGCCUUGUCUCUAUGAGCAGGUACACUACGAGCACAAACACACUGAGCAAGAUACUGCUAACACCGCACUUCGAACUGUUGGGCAAACGAAGAACAUGGGUGACACCGUAUUAAAAGGUGCAGACGUCAAGGUCCGCACCUGAAUCAAAUGACGCACCUGAAGAAUGAACACGGUGAGAAGCCUUGUCAAGAAGACUUAAAACAUUGAACCCUCGCCGAAAGGUAAGAUUGGUAGUUAUCCAUAUUUAUCCUUUCUGCAUUCCCUUUUCCCUUUAAUUAUUUACUUUCCUUAAAUAGAUUAUUAGUUAAUCAUGCUAUCUUGAAAGAAAAUAAAGAUGUUAAAAAAUACUAAGCCCCAUGUGAGUAUACGAGUGGCAUAAAACCCAUAAGUACCUUCACUGUGGUGGCAUAAGAAUAAAAUAAAUAUUUCUUUUCUACUAUAUAAAAUAAAAAUAUAAAAACAGGGAGUAAUAUUUAUUGAGGAAGCUCAACAUGAUGAAGGCUAGAUAUUUAUGCUAACACUUAAUUAGUUCCACAAGCUUUGUUGUCUAUUUGAGCUCCACAGAAUUUAAGAAUCAAGAAGACUAGCAGACGAAGGACAUUCUAAUCGCUGUCAGAAUGCUGCUCACUUUCAAAUACACCUCUGCCACCUGUUAGCUACAUCAAGAGAAAUUACGUCAAAAUUCAGCUUGGGGGAGAGCACCCCCAUUUAUCUCGCUAAGUAUUUCUACCUAUCUUUAUACUUAUAUUAUAUUAGAAUAUUAAAAUACAUAAACUAUGAAAAACCAAAUAAAGAUUUUGUGCUUAUAUAUAUAUCUUUUGCUUAGUGUGUUUAAUAAAUAAAUAAAGUGGCUAUGCUAAUCUGAAUCUUAAUAAUAAAACUCUAGCAUGGAUAUGAUGAAUAGUUGCUCUGCCUAAUUUGCAAAUUUGAAGUUCUCUCUCAAGUUUAGACAUAACUGUUAUAAUUUAAAGCUUGCUCUAGAUCUAAACUUGUGGGAUGAAAACUUGAUCUGAAAUCUAAGUUGUUAACGGAUAAGAUAUGGGAAGGUUGAGCUGCUGUUUAUCUGUUCCUAGCGAUGCUAGAAUUCUGGAGAAUUUUAUCUUUGAAAAUAUUUAAAAUGUUGCAUGAUGAGUUUCUGUAAUGAUGAAAGUUUAAAUUCCUACCACAGCCAUAUAUACAUGCUUGCUAGACUUUGAGCCACACAUUUAUUAUUUACUGCUUAUGAGCAUUGAGUGUGGUCAAGCUGUGUAGACCCUUAGGAGCUUGUCAUGUGGUUAAAUCAAGAUUCACUUGCACGUUCACUCAUAUAUGCUACUUCUACUUCGGAAGUACCAUCCACAUAUAUCCAUCCAUUUCCAUCUCCAGAAUCACCUAAAAAUAUUCUACUCCUAAUUCGGGAGAGAAUAGCCAAAAACAUCUAUGUUUUUCCCUUGUGAAAUAAAUGCUCAAGUUAUCUUGCUACUACCACUUGCUAUAUUAUCUCAAGAGAUGAGUGCUCAGAAAAAAAAAAUAAAAAAUAUAAAAAAUAAACGAGGAAAUAAAAAGGGGCAAGUGCCCGGAACCUCGAAAGAAAAGAAAAAGAGUGAGACGAGAGGUAAAAAUGGACAAGUGUCCGACAGCAGAAUUAGGGGUACAGGAUACCCACCUGAGAGGAAAGAAAAAGAAGAGCAUCUCAUUCUCCUCAUAAAGUUUCAAAAAGCAAGGAAGGUAUGUAUCCCCUCAUAAGAGCAAAAGUAGAAUUAGACUUUCACCAUUGUUAUCACCAUCAUCACUAUACACCAUUCAUUCGCCACACAUGCACAUCUUGAUUUGGCUUAUUGAUUUGUUUCUUUGGAUCCAUGGUUUGACUAUACAAUAAAUGUCUUGUAAGUAUGUAUACUUUAUCUCCCACCUAUGAGCUCCAGAUAUUAAAGCCUUAUUAGAGUAGGGUGAGAGAGAAGGCAAUGUCACUAUGCCUUAUACCACAAAUACCACAUAUUUUGAGAGAAGGCAUAUACCAUCACUGCCUUGGUAAGGAUCCAGAAAUACCACAAAAGAGAGAUAUGAGAGAGUCAUACAAAGGAAUCUCUGAGUUUUAUUUGAAAAUCUGCAAAAACUCCAGAGCUAUAGCUGAUCAAGAAUAAGAGACAUGGCACUUGACGGGACUGUUCUAUCUUUUAACCACUCAAUACAGAAGUGACGGUUACAAGUCCCAUGGUGAAAGGUAAAGUAAGUAAGUUUUAAGUCUUGACAGUUUACUCUAACUCAGAGAUGAGACCUCAUUUAAAAGCAUGUGUACUGUCAAUUUUUAAAGAUAUUGCAACAACUUAUGAUCCAUAGCUGAGUCUAUCCUUACUCAGGGACGAGCAAGAGGUAAGCUUGGGGGAGUUUGUUGACGGUCCUUAAGUAUCAAAUUUAACUAUCAAAUAAACAAAGAAAAGGAUCCAAAUGAAAUCAACAUCAAGACUUAGGGUUUUAUCUGACAGAAUCCCACGAGUUUUGGUGUUUGCCUAUUUCUGCAGGGGGUUAUCAGGAAAUAAGGAAGAAAGGCCCACACGUCGGGAUUACAUAGAGAUAUCAACGUGCCGCGCAAUUAUCUUACAUCUAGAAGACUCCAGAAGCCACGGGAAGGAAGCGGAGACCGAACGGAGUCAGGGACAGGGCGCCCGCCCAAGUCCUUAGGGCGCCCGCCCACCUUUUUCGGCCAAUCACGCUCAAUCUCGCGGAUUAUGCUCCACCGAUCUAAAGGAUCAAGAAUAACCGUUCAAUCAAUGUCGGUUUGAUCCGACGGCCCAGGUUUACUUGAGGGGACUAUAAAACCAGACCCCCUGGCCCCUGGAGGAGGCACCCCUUUAUCAUUAUUCAUUAUUCAUAGACAGAGCAAAAGCUAGGGUUUAGAGAUGAGAGCUCUCCUCUCUUCUCUAAACUAGAGUAGAUCUAGAUAGUAGCGAGAUGGAGAGCGAAGGAGGAUUAGAGGAGAGGCCGGCCUGUCGGUUCUUCCUCCAGUUGUACUUCGCCAUGAUCAAGCUCUAAUCAAGCUUGCUCAUGGGAUGACUCUGGUAAUCUACUUCUAAUUCAUUAUGUAAUUACUAAUCAUGUAUGUUCUGGUUCACAACUCUUUUGAGUACUUCUAAUCUAUAGGACCCUAUAGGUUAGAGUUGUAGUAUAGGUGUAAGCGUGGUGCUUAGACCUGGAUUACUUGUGGAUAUCCCCUGACUAGCUGGAUCGUGUGGUAGGCCUCGUAGGUGACAAUUACGUUGGUCCCCUGUAGUCCACCUCUCGUUAGCAGGACGGGUAGGGUUUAUCGGCCUAUGGAUAAGCAUCCUUUGUGGUGUACUCUUACCACGUGGUUCGUCCCAGACAUAGACAUACCCCUUUGAAGUAGAGAAACCAUAGUUAUCCUCUCUAUUCUGCUACCAUCGCCCAUAUACUAGAAUUGUUCUAUUCUCUAUUCCCAUAUUAUCACUCACUGUUAUCUUACCUUUAAUAUUGUUCUUAUUCGAUUCUAUCAUCUUUCCUAUUUACACCUAUCUAUCUAUCUUGGUUAAGUUAGAGCGUAGUUGGUUCUCCCGUUUCCCUGUGGAUACGAUAAAACCUUUAAUCGGGUAAAAGCUUCAACGGUAUCCAUGCGCUUGCGGAUUAUCUGUGUGCGUAUAAAUACCAUAGUACACUCUAGUGCCAUGCUGGGGAUGACAACCUAGUAUUCAAGUGGUGUUAGCAAGUGUCAACACCAUCCUAUGACGGUGCGUUGCGGAAUUAGCUCGUUCUUUUCAUUCAUAAUAACAGUCAUGCCUCCCUUUUUGGGCACAACUUGUACUGGGCUCACCCACUCACUGUGCGGCACAGGAUAUAUAAUCCCUGCAUGCUGUUGGGUAUUGUUAACAUCAUUACCAAAAGUAGACUAAGUUCUCUAAAUCUAGUAACGGUGCCAAAAAUGCCAAACCUAUCCCUCACACCACUUAAGCCAAGUUGUCAUCCCCAGCAUGAUAUAAGAGACGCGGUAUUGAAAUAUGCAAUUGCUCUUCUAAAUAAAUAAUGAAUGGGAUCUGCAAGCGCACAGAUUAAUACCGAUGUAGCAUUUUAACCAGGAAGUAUUCUAGGUAUCGUUAUUUAUAUUUUUACCACUGGGAAGGGAUUAGAAAUCAUCACUAAUGAUUACAGAAUAGAAUAUGAGAUUGAGCAUCUAUCAUUGCAUGUAUAAUUGAGAACAUUAUAUCUAACUCCUCAUAAAGAGAUAAGUGUCACAUAAAAGAUAUAUGAAAUAAUAAUAGUGACAAGGAUAACUAAUCUGAUCUAGCCACAUAAUAAAUAUGAUAAGCACCUCAAUUAGAUACUCUAGAAAGUCAUUAGCAUGGUAUUAGAACGAACUACAAGAAUAUUCCCUAAGUUAUUCUUAACUAUAUAGUCUAGCAUUAUCAUAGUUAGUGCAAGCAUACUUAGCAAUCAUUGCGAGACAAGAUUACGCCCAUGCAUAGUGAUAUUAGCAAGGAAUAUGAGAAACAUAGCAAUCACUCCCCUGUAAUAAUGUUGCUCUGCCAGCCCAAUACACGAGAGGGGGACUAUAUAAGAAUCAAUGAAGCUGUCACUAUCACAAACCACCCCACGAUCUGGCAUAUUGGGUACAAUCGCAGAUAAAUACGCUAUAAGCACCACGCCUACACAAUAUCUAUCAUUUACCCAUGGAUCCGAUGGAUAAACGCUAUACGAUCCUAAGCAUGUAUAUAGAUCGAAUCUAACUAAGCCAAGUACAUAACCAUGAUAAACUAAGAACAAUAUAAUCUUGUAUAAGCAAGUAGAGCAAAGUCAUAAGCAAUAUAUUGAAGUAGAACAAAGUCAUAUUCAUAAUAUUGAAGAACAAAGAUAAUUAGAAAGCAAUUAGAAGCACAAUUAGACAAUUACCAAGAAUUCUCUUGACAGAUCCGGAAACCAAUCGAAGAUUGACUCCUUCUAGUUCCAAUCCUAUGUAGCUAUGCUAAUCUAGAUAUCUAAUUGAUGUGGUGGCUCUAAUCUUGAUCAGAGGCUUCUUCUCCCUUGAUGGAACAAUGAAUUAGGGUUGAGAGGCUCUCUCCUCCAGGGGCCAGGGGGUCUGGUUUUAUAGUCCCUCCAAGUGAAUAUGGGCCCUUGGAUCAAACCGACAUAGAUUGUAUGGUUUAGAUUCAUCCUUUAGGUCGGUGGAAAUCUCCCGCAAAGCAGAGUCCUGAUUGGACUCAGGGGCAGGGCGGGCGCCCUGACCAACUGGGCGGCCGCCCAGGGUCAGGCCCCGUUUCGCCUCCGCUUCGGUCUCGUGGCUUCUGGAGUCUUCUAGAUGUAAGAUAAUUGCGCGGCACGUUAAUAUCUCUAUGUAAUCCCAACGUGUGGGCCUUUCUUCCAUAUUUCCUGAUAACCCCCUGCAGAAAUAGACAAACACCAAAACUCGUGGAAUUCUGUCAGAUAAAACCCUAAGUCUGGAUCUUUAUUUCAUUUGGAUCCUUUUCUUUAUUUAUUUGAUAAUUAAAUUUGAUACUUAAGGACCGUCAACACAUGCAGCAGCUUUAUAACUUCCUUUAUAACUACCUCUCUCAUAGUGUUGUUAAGUCUAUGUUGGGGUUCUCGAGAGGGUGAAACAGAAGGAUCUGUUGGAAUACGAUGGGUACAAAUCAUACGACUGAUUCCUGUAAGAUCUUGGAGUGAGUAGCCGAAAACUGAGUGAUGUUUCUCAAGAAUGGUCAUUAAUCGCAGAGUUUGAGCCUGAGUGAGUUUAUCGCUAAUGAUCAUAGGGAACUCUGGAUUAUUGUUUAGGAAAGCAUAGGUAAGACCGGGUGGUAAAAUUUUAAGCUCUAUGGGGGGUCUAGGUGUUUCUGCAAACUCAUCUAAGGGUUCAGGCUCAGAAGGUUCGUCUUCUUCUUCUGUGAAGAAAGGAGUUUCGUCUUCUAAGUCUGGUUCAUCUAAAAGCUCAAGAGAUGCAGCCUUUACUUCCUCCAUAGGAUCAGGCAAAAGAUAUGACUCGGCCUUAUUGUUUAAGGAGUGUGAAAUUAUUAUUGGGAAUUUAAAAGUUUUUCUAAAAGAAAUGUGUAGCUUUCCAGUAUGACCUUCAUAAAGGAGUCUUCUAAAAGGUUGUCCUAUUAACAGGUCGAAGUCCCAUGUAUCAAAGAUAUAGAAGUUCAAAUGAACCAUGGAGCCUUCUACCGUAAGAGGUAGGACAUUAAUAAUUCCAAGACUGGGGACUAAUCGUCCCAAAGAUUCCUUUAUGACCUUUGUUGUGGGGGUUAAGAUAAGAUUUUUAAAUAGUUUAAGUGCAAAGGAUUCAGACAUGAUGUUGAUCCCCACAAUAGGAUUAUAGAGAGCAUUAAAUCGAUCAGAAUUAUAAGCAUAGCGUAUAGUUAUAGAGGGUGUGUCCAAACGGAUCACAUCAGAGGAAAGCUCAGAUUCCUCCAACCAUUCGCUACUCAUUACUAAGAUAAGCUCUCUCAAUUGAUAUUCACUUGGCAAAUAAAUGCUAAAAUUGCCAUUUUGGGGUUUGUCAAUAGAAUGGUAGUUUGAAAUAUUUCCAAAAUCGGCAAAAAGAUCGGAUUCUAUAUCCAGCAUGAAGUCCGGUGGUGGAAUUUCUUCCUCUUGUGGCUCAGAACUUGGGAUAGCUAAAGUAGAUGAAGAAUUUGGCAGAGUGUCUACUUCGGCUUCAUAGGUUUCAUCAUGAAGGGUAUUAUCCAUCUCAGCUCCUAGGAUUCUAUCUAGGAUCACUCUAGCUUCAUCAGCAGGGAUGCGAAAGAAAGAACCUCUAGACAUUGUGUGAAGCAUUUGUUUGUGAUUUUUAUGAAGACCUCGAAAAAAGUGAAAUAAAAGAACAAGGUCUUCAAGAUUAAGGUUUGGACCAGAUUCUAAAAGGUCAGAAAAACGUCUCCAGGAUUUCCCCAAAGUUUCAUUAUCUUUUUGUUUAAAAGAUAGGACUUCGAGUCUAAGGUCGGCUAUACGGUCAAGGGAAUAGAAAUCUAGACAAAAGUUGGCUCGUAAAACUCCCCAUUCACCUUGUUGUUGACUUACCUUCUGACUGUACCAUUGUCUAGCUUCUCCCCUUAAAGUAAAAGGAAAAAGCUUCCAACGUAAAGUUUUAUCAGAAAUGCCUUCAAUGCGAAGACAAUCACAUGUUUGCUCAAAAUCUCUAAUAUGAAGGUAAGGGUUUUCGUCUUCCUUUCCCGAAAAAGAUAGGUUUUGAAUCAUGGCAAUCAACCUAGAACUUAACUUAUACUAGGAUGUUUGGAUAGGCUGUGAUGACUCCCAUGGUAAAAGGUCAGUUGCUAAAGGGAUUGCAGAUUCAUGGAUCGAUUUAGAAUUUUGGUUUUCCAUAAGGUAAGAGUAAAGAAAAUAAAGAAUAUAAAAGAUAAGAAAAGAUAAAAGUAUAGAUACAAGCUAGUAGCAAGACUCAGGUUAUCUCAGCAACCGUCUUUCUCCCCGGCAACGGCGCUAGAAAUGCCCGUUGAUAUUUGGGAACGCAAUAAGGAAUUGAUCCGCAAGCGCACGGAUAUCGGUGAGCACUUCACCCGGGAAAUUAUCCAGAGUAUCGUAUUUAUUUUUUUACCACUAGGAGAAAGAGUGCAUCUGGCUAACCGGUCUAUUACUACUAACCUUUAGGCACAAAGAAUGUCUUUCGAUGUGAGUGAUAAAUAGAGAAGACUGCAACCGUAGUCUCCUUCUAACCUUGGUAAGGAUGAUUUACGGUUCUAAUGGGGAGGCUAACGGAAUCUAGACAACACAAAGGAUGUUCGAUCCGCACCUAUAAACCCUAUCCUUCCUGCUAACGAGAUGUGAUCUACAAAGGUAGCUCGGAAUUGUCACGUUGCUCACUACUACUACGGUCCAGCUAGUCAGGGAAUAUCUAUGAGUACCCCAGCCUAAACACCACGUUUACGCCAGAAAUGAUUACUCUAAACUCUACGCGAAGAGAUUAAAGUAAACUCAUAAACCAUAAGAACAAUAAAACAAGAACUUACUAGAAUUUAGAAGUCGAAUUACUGAAGAAUCCUAGGAGCAAGCUUCGGGUUAGGAGAACUUGAUCCCGCAGGUACAAGCUUGGAGUAGACACCGACAGGCCGGGCUUCCUCCAAUCUACACCUCCACUCUAUCUCUCUCAAUCUAGUAGAAACUAGAAGAUCUAUUUCUACCUUACAUUGAUUGCUUAGCCUAAAAAGAAAUAUUAAUUAGAGAAGAGGUUUUCAUUCGAGGGCACCCCUCAGUCUCUAUGAUAAUUUCUUCAUGUCUUCUCCAGGGGCCAGGGGGGUCUCCUUAUAUAGUCCUCCCCUUCUAUGCAUUUUUGGGUCGAUAGGCGAGGUGGUACUAUGUUUUUCUUGAUCCAAUAGGUCGGUGGAAUAUCCCGAGCGAAGAGAGUCCUGAAAGCAAUCCAGCAGGGGGCGGGCGCCCUAGGCCUGGCCCCCUUCGGCCUCCCUCUUCUUCCCGUGGCUUCUGGAGUCUUCUAGAUGGUGGAAAAUCAUGCGGUGCGUUGAUAUCUCUAUGUAAUCCCGACAUGUGGGCCUUUCUUCCUUAUUUCCUGAUAACACCCUGCAGAAAUAAAUAAACAACAAAACUCGUGGAAUUCUAUCAAAUCAAACCCUAAUUCUAGGUGUUAGUUGCAUAUUGGUCCUUUCUCUUGUUUAUUUGAUAAUUAAAAUUGAUACUUAAGAACCGUCAACACCAACCAAGGCUGGAAUGAAGAGAGGACCCAGACACGCAAGAAAGGUGGAGGUACGCAUCAGCUCAAGGAGGUAGACAUGCUGUCUGCAAAGCUAGACCUGCUCAUGAAGAAGCUCGAUGAUAGAGCUAGAGAUAAGAAAGAAGUUAUGCACAUCUACGACUCUCACAUGACUUGUGAAGAGUGUGGAGAUACUGGACACUCAGGCAAUCACUGCCCUGAGAUGCUUGAGGAUGUGAACUAUAUCAACAACAACAACUACUACUACUACUACAACCGUCCUCAACAAAAUCAAGGUUGGAAUCAACAAAGGCCUAACUACUCAGGUAAUUAUCAAUGUAACAAUUCUUACAACAGUAAUAAUAAUUUUCCACCUUUGAGAGAGUUAGUAUAUAAUCAAGGAAAGCUAAUGGAUAACCUAUCUAAAAAAUUGGCAUCUAAUGAUAAAAUGCAAGAAAAUAUAAAUAAUAGAAUGGAUAAUUUCUCUACUGCCAUCAAGAAUCAAAUUAGCUUUAAUAAAAUGAUUGAAUCCCAGUUAAAUCAAAUAGCUGUUGUUGUUCCUUCUACUAACCCCGGUAUACCAUCACAACCGGAAGGAUUAGAAUCAGCAAAUCUUGUAGACAUGUUUGAUGCAGGUAACUACUGGAGUAACCCCAUCACUGAAGUUACUACUGACCUUCUGCCGCUCAAGAGAGGCGAUCCAGGACGCCCCGUCAACCCGAUCUCCAUCGGCAUGGUGGACUUCCCAAAAGCACUCUGCGACUUUGGCUCCAGCGUCAACAUUAUGCCCAGGGUAUCUAUGAAAAAUUCUUUACAUAUGCUUUAUUAGAAACAACCAUGUGUUUGCAGUUUGCAGAUCAGGCGUUAAGUUUUCCAAAGGGAAUAUUGAAGAACCUCUGUGUCUGAGUUGGUACCUUUUACGUCCCAGCAGACUUCAUGGUGAUAGAGACCGGUAAUGAUGAGAAGGCACCCAUCAUCUUAGGGAAGCCAUUCUUAAACAACUUGGGAGCUGUCAUCUAUGCUAGUGCUGCCAAGAUCAGUUUCUACAUCAAAGGGAGGAAGGAGACGUUUUCCUUCAAGAACAAGACUACACAGAUCCCAGAGCAAUCUCGACAUGAACCAAGGAAGAGGACAAACAAGAGGAACAAGAACAAGCAAGUGUGGACCGAAUCAGCUAAGAUGAUCACUGCAGUUCAUGAAGGACAAGAUCAUCAACUUAAGUCACCGUUUCUGACCAAGAAGGACGACCUAGGAAUGCCAAGCAUCUAUUGCUCCAUCAAUGGGUACAACUUCUACAAGACAUUUUGCGACACCGGAUCGGGCGUCAACAUAAUGGCCGCGGUCACCUAUCGGCUCUUGUUCGGAACCAUGCCCCUAAAACCAACAUACAUUCAGCUCCAGAUGGCAGAUCAUACAUUUCGAGAGGUUAAAGGUAUAGUAACUGAUGUCCCUGUCAAAAUAGAUGAUCAUUUUGUCUACACAGACUUUCAGGUUAUUGACAUGGGAGAAGAAGAAUAUGAUCCACCCGUCAUCCUUGGAAGACCAUUCCUCAGCACCGUUAAAGCAAUCAUCUACAUUAGAACUGGAGAAGUCCAUAUGCACUUUCCCUCUGAGAAGGUACGCCGCUAUUUUACUGACCCUAACUAUAUCGUUGAAGACUCUAAGCAGGUCAGGACAAGAAGAAAACGACGCAACCGCAACCAGAAGAGGUAAAUCAUCAAGGACGGAUGGGCAGACUAUGAAGGAGAAGUAGUAAGGUCUGAAGACAUACAGCUUGAACAAGACUAUCCUGAGGAGACCGUAGCACCGAGUCAGGUGUGGAAAGAGAAGAUAACUAUACACGAAGAGGAGGCGCCGCUGGAAGCACCAACUGCGCCACCCAACGUACCCCAGGACAACUGAGAAAAUGAAGCGUCCCGUUCGGAGGACUUAAAAACACCGAACGCCUUGCCAAGAGGUAAACUUGGUAGUUAUCCUUUCCCUUUUAAAUAUUUAAAAUAGUUUACUUAGUUAAUUAUGUUCAUACUAUCCUAAAAAGAAAAUAAAAAUGUUAAAAAAUAGUAAGCCCCAUGUGAGUAUAUGAGUGGCAUAAAACCCAUAAGUACAUUCACUGUGGUGGCAUAAAAAUAAAAUAAAUAUUUCUUCUACUCUAUAAAAUAAAAAUAUAAAAAUAGAGAGUAAUAUUUAUUGAGGAGGCUCAACAUGAUAAAGGCUAGAUAUUUAUGCUAACACUUAAUCAGUUGCACAAAGCUUUGUUGUCUAUUUCAGCUCCACAUAAUUUAAGAAUCAAGAAGACUAGCAGACGGAGGACAUUCUAAUCGCUGUCAGUGUACUGCCGACUUUCAAAUACACCUCUGCCACCUGCUAGCUACAUCAGAAGAAAUUACGUCAAAAUUCAGCUUGGAGGAGAGCACCCCCAUUUAUCUCGCUAAGUAUUUCUAUCUAUCAUUAUACUUAUACUAUAUUAAAAUAUAAAUAUACAUAACUAUGGAAAACCAAAUAAAGAUUUUAUGCUUAUAUAUAUAUAUAUCUUUUGCUUAGUGUGUUUAAUAAAUAAAUAAAGUGGCUAUGCUAAACUGAAUCUUAAUAAUAAACCUCUAGCAUGGAUAUGAUGAAUAGUUGCUCUACCUAAUUUUUCAAAUUUAAGUUUUCUCUCAAGUUUAGACAUAACUGUUAUAAUUUAAAGCUUGCUCUAAACCUAAACUUGUGGGAAGAAAACUUGAUCUGAAGUCUAUGUUGUUAAUGGAUAUGAUAUGGGAAGGUUGAGCUGCUGUUUAUCUGUUCCUAGAGAUGCUAGAAUUCUGGAGAAUUUUAUCUUUGAAAAAUCUUUAAAAUAUUGCAUGAUGAGUUCCUGUAUGAUGAGAGUUUAAAUUCCUACCAUAGCCAUAUAUACAUGCUUGCUAGACUUUGAGCCACACAUUUACUUUUUACUACUUAUGAGCAUUGAGUGUGGUCAAGCUGUGUAGACCAUUAGGAGCUUGUCAUGUGGUUAAAUCAAGAUUCACUUGCACGUUCACUCACACAUGCUGCUUCUACUUUGGAAGUACGCAUCCACAUAUAUCCACUCAUUUCCAUCUCUAGAAUCACCCAAAAAAUAUUCUACUCCUAAUUCGGGAGAGAAUAGCCAAAAACAUUUCUGUUUUUCCCCUAUGAGAUAAAUGCUCAACUUAUCUUGGUUACUACCACUUGCUAUAUUAUUUCAGGAGAUGAGUGCUCUAAAAAAAAGAGAUACGAGGAAAUAAAAAGGGGCAAGUGCCCAGAACCUCGAAAGAAAAGAAAAAGUCAGACGAGAGGUAAAAAUGGACAAGUGUCCGACAGUAAAAUUAGGGGUACAAAAUACCCACCUGAGAGAAAAAAAAUAGAGCAUCUCAUUCUCCUCAAAAAGUUUCAAAAGAGCAAGAAAGGUAUGUAUCCCCUCAAGAGAGCAAAAGUAGAAUUAGACUUUCACCAUUAUCAUCACCAUAUACCAUUCAUUCGCCACACAUGCACAUCUUGAUUUGAUUUAUUGACUUGUUACUUUGGAUCCAUGGUUUGACUAUACAAUAAAUGUCUUGUAGGUAUGUAUACUUUAUCUCCCACCUAUGAGCUCCAGAUAUUAAAGCCUUAUUAGAGUAGGGUGAGAGAGAAGGCAAUGUCACUAUGCCAUAUACCACAAAUACCACAUAUUUCGAGAGAAGGCAUAUACCGUCACUGCCUUGGUAAGGAUCCAGAAAUACCACAAAAGAAAGAUCUGAGAGAGUCAUACAAGGAAUAUCUGAGUUUUAUUUGAAAAUCUGCAAAAACUCUAGAGCUAUAGUUGAUCAAGAAUAAGAGACAUGGAACUUGACUAGACUGUUCUAUCUUUUAACUACUCAAGAUAGAAGUGACGGUUACAAGUCCCAUGGUGAAAGGUAAAAUAAGUAUUUUUUAAGUCUUGACAGUUUACUCUAACUCAGAGAUGAGAUCUUAUUUAAAAGCAUGUGUACCGUCAACUUUUAAAGGCAUUACAACAACUUCUGAUCCAUCGCUGAGAUUAUCCUUGCUCAGGGACGAGCAAGAGGUAAGCUUGGGGGAGUUUUUUGACGAUCCUUAAGUAUCAAAUUUAUUUAUCAAAUAAAUAAAGAAAAUGAUCCAAAUGAAACUAACACCCAGACUUAGGGUUUUAUCUGACAGAAUUCCACGAGUUUUGGUGUUCAGGAAAUAUGGAAGAAAGGCCCACACAUCGGGAUUACAUAGAGAUAUUAACAUGCUGCGCAAUUAUCUUACAUCUAGAAGACUCGAGAAGCCACGGGAACGAAGCGGAGGCAGAACGGGGCCUGGCCCAGGGCGCCCGCCCUAGAGACCAGGGCGCCCACCACCUGUUUGUGCCCAAUCUGGACUCUCUUCAGGGAUCAUGCUCCACCGACCUAAAGGAUCAAGGAUAACCAUUCAAUCAAUGUUGGUUUGAUCCAACGACCCAUAUUCACUUGGAAGGACUAUAAAACCAGACCCCCUGGCCCCUAGAGGAGGGCACCUCUCAACCAUAAUUCAUUAUUCAUCAGGGAGAAGAAGCCUC
rnacentral:lncRNA from 1 species